AAAGGUCGUGGCUGCCAAGCGAGACGCAGCAAAGUCUGUUGACAAUGCAUUAAAGUAUGGUGCCAUCUCUCGGAAAGCAGCCGGUACAAGUUCUUCUACCUCCCCCAAUAGGAAAGAAGGCACCACUGAUGCUGCUAAGAUGUUCACCAAGAAGGCUGAAACCGCUACCACACCUGAAGAGGCCGCGGCUGCCAAGCAAGCUGCAGCCAAGUCUACCGCUGCUGCAUCAAAGUAUGGUGUCAUUUCUCAGCAAGUAGCUGGUACAAGUUCUUCUACCUCCCCUAGCAGGAAAGAAGCUGCCGGUACCUUGGCAGGUGCUCGCAUAGCUGCUGCCGAGAAGUCCAUCAAGAAGGCUGAAACCACCACAAGACCUGAAGAGGCAACAUCCGCUAAGAAGGAUGCCGCGAAAUCCGAGGCUGAUGCAAUGAAGUACGGGGCCAUCUCUCAGCAGGCCGCCGGCAAAAAUGGUGCCUAAGUGGUGCCUUAAACACCUAUUCACACGCAACAUCAUCUACAUACUACCAUGCAUGCAAAAUAGCAGCAUUCAGAUACCACAUUAUGCUAAUUCUCAUGCAUGCACGCUUUGUUUAAACGUUCCCAUUACGAAUCAUGUAUUAAUGUCUUGCUUGUUUUAUUUUUAGUAGUAAGACACGCUUGACUUGCUUUAAAAAAAAUACAACAAUCGACGUAUACAUGUAUUAUCUGAAAAUUAAUAAUAUGAGUUCCACCGCAAUUUGUUUCUUUUUGUCAUAAUUUGGGUGCAAUCAAUGCACACAUCCAAUACACAAAAUUGGACGACUCAAUGUGUUAUGGCUCCAUGGAGCGGCGAAUCAUGUUUUAUUGUCUUGCUUGUUUUACUUUUAGUAGUAAUGUCUUGCUGGUCAAUGUAUUAUGGCUCCAUGGAGCGGCAUAAUGAUAUAUGAUAUAUCUUCACUACUUCAAAAAGAACUUAAGGUUUUGUCAUACAUCUUUCCUUCAUCCAUCCUCCCUACGAAUCCUUCCUGUUUUGAUUUUUUCUCCCAUCUUUGAUUUUUCUCCCCAUUGAUUCUACCUAAAAACCACCUCAAUGUCACAUGUUUACUGUAUAUGUCAAGGCCUCCUUUGGUUCAUAGGGUAGAAAAAACAUAGGAAUAGGAAAGUCAUAGGAAAUGAGAUGACAUGUAUCUCAAAUCCUAUGAUUGGGAAUAGGAAAGGAGAUGCCCUUUGAUUCACAUCAUAGGAUUUUUUCAUUGAAUCUAGGCUAAUGUUUAUUUUCCUAUGAAAUGUGAAGGAGAGGAAGAAUUCCUCCAUAGGAUUAGGAUUCCAUUCCUACAAACCAAAGGACUCUAAAGGAAUUUUUCCUAUAGAAAUCCUAUCCUAUGAAAUUCUUACAAGAUUCCUCCAAAUCAAAGGAGGCCCAAGUGGUUGUGAUGAGACAGUGGCUGGGCACUUCAGAUUUAUUCCCGUAACUGACUGUCAAAUUGAGUCAUCUGUCAUCCUUUCGAUGAUUGUAAGAAAGUUAUAUGUUUAUUGUAUGUGCCAAGUGGUUGUGAUUAUCGUUACCGGCCACAAAGUUAUAUUUUCUUGUCUUAACGAAGGGUUGCAUACAAUGCGUGUAGCUCUUGACGCCUGAUAACCCACAAGUAUAGGGGAUCGCAACAGUUUUUGAGGGUAGAGUAUUCAACACAAAUUUAUAGAUUCGACACAAGGGAGCCAAAGAAUAUUUGUAAGUAUUAACAACUGAGUUGUCAAUUCAACCACACCUGAAGAUUAAUUAUCUGCAGCAAAGUGAUCAGUAGCAUAGUAGUAUGAUAGUUUUGAUAGUAGUAGCAACAUCAACAGUAACGGUAACAGUGGUAGCAAUGGUUUUGUAGCAGUGACAAUAGUAACAGCAGCAGCAGUAACUUAGCAAGAACAAUAUGUACGAAAAUCGUACGCAUUGGAUCGGUGAUUUGUUGGAUGAUAUUCAUCAUGUGACAGUUACAACCUAGGACGAUACGGCACUAGCUCCAGUUCAUAAAUAUAAUGUAGGCAUGUAUUCUAUAAAUAAUCAUACGUGCUUAUGAAAAGAACUUGUAUGACAUCUUUUGUCCUACCCUCCUGUGGCAGCGGGGUCCUAUUGGAAACUAAGGGAUAUUAAGGCCUCCUUUUAAUAGAGAACCAGAAUAAAGCAUUAACACACGUGAAUACAUGAACUCCUCAAACUACGGUCAUCACAGGGAAGUGUCCCGACUAUUGUCACUCCGGGGUUGCCGGAUCAUAACACGUAGUAGGUAACUAUAACUUGCAAGGUUGGAUCUAGAACAUAGAUAUAAUGGUGAUAACAUAAGUCAUAGCAACAUCAAUCAAGAACAUAAUGGAUACUAGGGAUGAAGCCCUAACAAAACUAACUCAAUUACAUGAUGAAUCUCAUCCAACUCCUCACUGACCAGCGAGCCUACGAAGGAAUUACUCACUCCUGGUGGGGAGCAUCAUGGAAUUGGCGAUGGAGAAGGGUUGGUGAUGACGAAGAUCGAAGAUCCCACUCUCUGGAGCCCCAAACGGACUCCAAAUCUAGCCUCCCGAUGAAGAACAGGAGAUGACGGCGGCUCCGUCUUGUGGAUCGUGAUAAUUCUUUCUCCCUGAUUUUUUUCUGGAAAAAUAGGAUUUUAUAGCGUCGGAUUCAGGGCCUGCGGGGCCACCAGGUGGGGACAACCCACCUGGGUGUGCUUGGAGGGGGGGGGGGGCUGGUGGGUUGUGCCCAUCCAGGUGCCCCCCUCCGAUUGUUCUUGGCUCCAGAAAUUCUCUGUAUUUGUAUAAAAAUUCCUCGCAAAGUUUUGUUCCAAUCCGAAAACUUUUAUUUCUGCACAAAAAAAACACCAUGGUAGUUUUGUUGGAAACAACGUCAGUCCGGGUUAGUUUCAUUCAAAUCAUGCAAAUUAGAGUCCAAAACAAGAGGAAAGUGUUAGGAAAAGUAGAUACGACGGAGACGUAUCAACUCCUCCAAGCUUAAACCUUUGCUUGUCCUUAAGCAAUUCAGUUGAUAAACUGAAAGUGAAAAAAAAUUAUGAACUCUUUUGCUCUUGUUUUCAUAAAUAAGCUUAAACAUCACCCAGUGUCGGUGUCGAAACCGGCGGAUCUCGGAUAGGGGGUUCCGAACUAUGCGUCUAGGCGGAUGGUAACAGGAGACAAGGGACACGAUGUUUACCCAGGUUCGGGCCCUCUCGAUGGAGGUAAAACCCUACUCCUGCUUGAUUAAUAUUGAUGAUAUGGGUAGUACAAGAGUAAAUCUACCACGAGAUCAAGGAGGCUAAACCCUAGAAGCUAGCCUAUGGUAUGAUUGUUGUUGUCCUACGGACUAAAACCCUCCGGUUUAUAUAGACACCGGAGAGGGUUAGGGUUACACAGAGUCGGUUACAAUGGUAGGAGACCUACAUAUCCGUAUCACCAAGCUUGCCUUCCACGCCAAGGAAAGUCCCUUCCGGACACGGGACGAAGUCUUCAAUCUUGUAUGUUCAUAGUCCGGGAGUCCGGCUGAAGGUAUCGUCCGGCUAUCCGGACACCCCCUAAUUCAGGACUCCCUCAGAGCCCCCGAACGAGGCUUCAAUGACGACGAGUCCGGCGCGCAAAUUGUCUUCGGCAUUGCAAGGCGGGUUCUCCUUCAAUUUCUGUGUACCUGCUGAAUAAUGUCCGGUUUCUUAUAAAUGUAGCGCUCCUCGGCUUCCACGCCCAAUAAUGGCCGUCUUCCACGUGUCAAAUGAAUACGAAAAGUCUGGGUGUUUUUACAUUCACACCCCCAGCCGCGUAAAUGAGCUGCCUAUUUAAAGGGACGGGGAUUUAGAUCCAAACCACACCUUCUCCUCUCCGCGAGUUUCAUCAGAGCGCAUCCGACAAAGGACCGUUCCAUCAUGGCCAGCGGUCGCAGCUCCUCCUCUCGCCCUUCCAGCCCUCAUCCUGGAGAUUGGGAGAGAUGCUCCGUCCCGCACAUCGAGCUAGUGUCGCUUCGGACCAAAGGGAUUUCUUCCUCCUGCCUAUAUGGUCCCGGUUCGAGCCGGACUUGCCACCUAUAAUGGCGGAGAGCAAGCGGAGAACGCCCCCAAUCCCUCCAAAGGAGAGCGGGUAUGCCUUGUCCCUUAUUUAAUAAGAGGGCUCGGAUUUCCAAUUCAUCCAUUUCUCCGGGGGCUCCUGGAGUUCUACGGCCUCCAGCUGCACAACCUCAUGCCUGUCUCCGUAUUGCAUAUUGCGGGCUUCGUAGCCCUUUGCGAGUUGUUUUUGGGUGUUGAGGCUCAUUUCGCGCUGUGGAAGAGGCUAUUUUGCCUUGUGCCCUGUUCUUAGGAGGGGUCAAUAUAUCAAGUGGGCGGAGCCAAAGUGUGGUGUAUCGCCAGGACCGGAUAUCUAUCCGGAACCCCAAAGAAGGCGUCCGAGGACUGGCCUUCAGAAUGGUUUUAUAUAGAGGACGUCCCGUUGCCGGAUCCUGUUCGGAUCGGCCUCCCUGAGUUCAACAGCGCUCCCCUGAAGAAACGUCUAAGCUGGCACCCACGGAGCCCUCAGAGAGAAAGUGACAAGGACGUUCUUUACCUGAUGGGCCGGAUAAGAUUAUUAGCUCAUUCCGGACUAACCAUGAUCGGAGUCAUGGCCGCAUGCAUCAUGCGAGGGGUGCAACCGCUUCAGUACAGAGGCCACCCCAUGUGGGACUUCAACGGGGAGGAUGAUGCCACCCGUCACGGCCGUAAGGGGCCGGACUCGGCUACCGCUCUAGUAAAGAUCUUGUCCGCUUUGUACAAGGGAGAAGAGGAGGAAUUUCUCCGCGUCAACCCACAGGGUGGAUUUACCAUGUACAAUCCCCCAAGUUGGGUAAGUGGGCAAUUUUACUUGCCCGUCUGUUUUGUAUUCCCAUCAUUAAAUAUAUAGUCUAACGACUUCAACGCAGGAACUGCGCCAGGAAGUAAAGGACAUAAACAGCCCGCCUCCACAGCCUGAGGACCCAGAGUUGUCCCUCGAUCCGGCCUCCGAAGAGGAUCCGGACUUAUCCAUGGAGUUAAUUGAUGGGGUGUUUUAUCAAUUGAGCAAGGACAAUGCCUUGGUGGCCAUUAAGGCCGAUUACCCGGGGCUGCUCCCGGCCUCCCAGGUAACUGAGACCGAAGUCCUAGCACCUCAAAAAGGGAUCCGCCCUCGCGUGUUUUUCAGUUUCCUGACAACAACCGUGUUUUGUAGGGGAGGUUCUUGAGACGGGAGGCCGAGCCUGCGGUGACUAGCCAACGAGGGGCCACAGGGCCCCGUGGGAUGAAAAGAAGUGCAGUCCGGACUGAGGCACCGGCGCAGAGGUAUAGCGCGCCUUCUUAUUCCCAGGUGUUAUUCCUUCAAGGCAUAUUAACACUCGUGCUCUUUUCAGGACAAAAAGACCCCGCCGGACUAUAUCCAGAGAGGCUGCCAAUCGCGCCUCCACCAGCCAGGAUCCAAAGCCUGGUCCGGAGACGGAGGCGAACACGAGGCGCGCACCGGACGCUCCUCCAACAGAUGAUGCGGACAGGCUGUCCGCCACUAAUUCCGAGGUGGAGAGUGCCAUGAACCACAGGCGUCGCCGGACAGUUCUUCGCGACGCUUGUUUCUCCCAAGAGGCAUUGGACGCCUUCAAUUCGGGAGAUGCGUACCUUCGUGCCGCUCAAAAUGGUCUAGCCAGAGCCACGGAGCAAUAUGUAAAAGACAUACGGGUGAGAAAAUUUAAUGGUUAUAUAUAUCAGUAGCCCCCGAGACUUGAAACAGUUAGAAGAACUGAUUUAAGGAUCAUUCAUAAUGCAGGUUCUUGCGGAAAAGAAUACCCAACUGUCCCAGGAGCUAGAAGAGUGCAAAGCCCAACUUGAGGCCGCACUAGCCGCGACAGGGGAGCCCAAGGAGACCCCCUCUGGUAAUAUGUGCUUCAAAAAGAGAAGUAUUUUGUGAAGUGCGGCGUAUGUGCAAAUCUGACGAAUGAAAUUGCAGAUGGCGCCGGAUUAGAUCCGGAAAAGCAACAAAUCCUACGCCAGCUAAAGGCUGGUGAGAGCGUGCUGACAAAGGUGAGGCGGGAGAAGAACGAUCUCCAAUAUGCCAACACCAAGCUGGGCGUUGAACUGAAAGAUGUUUGUGCCCAGUUGUCAGACUCCGCUAAGGAGAAUCAGCGGCUUCGACGCGGCAUAUUUAGUAAGUGCUUAAACGAACUUUGAAUAAAGAGUUCGACAAGGAAGUCGACUAACGGAGUAAUGUCUGUAGGUAUGCUAACAGGUCGUCCUGCAGAGGAGAUGCCCGGUUCUAUGGGUGACCUUCUUCUUGAGCUCUUGCAACUGCACGAGCGAGUUCAACAGGUGAUGCAGGGCGUCGCCCAGGCCUUGUGGCCAUCCAUCUCCAUGCCCGAAGGACUUGGAGAGGUUGCAGAGAAGCUGAAGGGAGCGCGGCGGCGCUUCCGAUUGUGGAAGAUAUCGGCCUGCCGUCAAGGCGCUAGGGAGGCCUGGGCCAUGGUGAAGACGCGGUACACGAAGGCUGACCCAAACCACAUGGCCGAGGUCGGACCUGUGGGGCCCGAUGGGAAGGAGAUCCCUGUAAGCUUAGUAUACGGCCAAGUAGAAUUGCCCGCAAAGUAUUCCCAGCAGGACUGUAAGCUAGACAGCAUGUUAGAUGGUAUUGAAGAGGAAUACAAUUAGUCAUAAUGACUAUGUAAUUUUAAUUGACAUGUGUAAUGCCUUCUAGCCGGAUUGUAGAUCGUUUUUCAUGGCCGACCUUUUUGCUUCGACCUCGGGACCUGACGGUCCGGAGUGUGUCCGAAUACCCUUGCGGUUAUAUAAGAACCGGGGUAUGCAUGGAGACCAGGCGUAGGGGUCAUUAGUGCUUGAACAGACAAGUGCCCGACUAGUUAUGUUAUAUUACAUGGUUAGUAAGAAACAUCUUCCAGGGAGAAUAGUUCCGUUAGGGGUUCCUUUCCCUGGGAGGCAUGCCCUAAAGUGCAUGUCCAUUCUGCGAAAAGAGACGCAGGAAAAAACAUCUGGGGGCGCAUAGAUAAAUAAGUGAAAAAAAUCAUCUUUAGUUCACCGACCGAAUAUUCCCUUAAGGACGCUAGCUUUCGGCUUCACCCAGUCUGAGGUACACAUCGGGCUGACCCGGCAGUAACAAUCGCAGAGGUGCUCCCUUUACCACCUAGCCGAACAAUCGGAAACAUAGGGCUAAGCACAGGAGCCAGGCAACCCAGCUUGGCUAAAACUUAAGUCAUAUCGAUACAUAUGAUGGUGAAUAAAAGGUACAUGCGGAAGUGUGACACAUGUGUUGGGCAUGAAGCCCGUAUAAGCUUCUGUUCAAAGAAGCCCCCAGGUUUAGUGAGCGCGGAUAGCGCGUCACUUGAUGAGCCUUUAAAGGCUAUAAGAGAAAGGAGGGGGAGAAGGAGAAAAUGGAAGACAGAAAAUAUAAAAAAUGGACAGAGGAAGGAGACGAACAUAGAAUCCGGCGCUAGGCAUAGAAUCUUCGGAGACGGGCUGCGUUCCAUGGGUUCGGCUCGAGUCGGUUAUCCGAUGCAUCUCACAGGCGGUACGUUCCACCAGUCAGGACUUGGUCAAUUAUGAAGGGACCUUCCCACUUGGGCUGGAGUUUGUCCUUUUUCUUGUCCGGCAGGCGUAGAACUAGUUCGCCAACAUUGUAAUUUUUGGCCCGUACUUCUCUGCUUUGAUAUCUUCGAGCCUGCUGUUGAUAGAAUGCGGAACGGGCUUUUGCCACGUCACGCUCCUCCUCCAAGGCGUCCAAACUGUCCUGCCGAUCGAGCUCGGCUUCUCUUUCUUCGUACAUGUGCACUCAAGGUGAGUCAUGAAUUAUAUCGCAGGGCAAAACUGCUUCUGCGCCGUACACCAUGAAGAAUGGUGUGUAUCCGGUGGUGCGAUUCGGCGUGGUCCGCAGCCCCCAGAGUACGGAGUCGAGCUCCUCUACCCAGUGCGUGUUAGAUUCCUUAAGGGACCGCACUAAUCUGGGUUUGAUGCCGCUCAUGAUAACACCAUUUGCGUGUUCGACCUGUCCGUUAGUUUGUGGGUGAUAGACGGAAGCAGAAUCGAGCUUGAUGCCCAUGUUUUUGCACCAGAGUUUUACCUCAUCGACCGUAAAGUUCGUACCGUUAUCAGUGAUGAUGCUGUGGGGGACGCCGUAACGGUGUACGACCCCGGAUAUAAAGUCUAUCACUGGUACAGAUUCGGCCGUCUUAAUAGGCUUGGCCUCUAUCCAUUUGGUGAACUUAUCCACCAUGACCAGUAAGUAUUUUUUCUUGUGGGUUCCGCCUUUAAGGGGUCCAACCAUGUCAAGCCCCCAGACCGCGAAGGGCCAAGUGAUGGGGAUAGUUUGGAGGGCGGUGGGUGGCAUAUGGCUUUGGUUUGGCAAAAGCUGGCAACCGACGCAUCGUUGGACUAAGUCCUGAGCGUCUGCCCGGGCCGUUGGCCAAUAAAAGCCUGUACGGAAAGCCUUGCUUACGAGGGACCAAGCUGCGGUGUGAUGACCACCGAGUCCGGCAUGAAUUUCAGCCAGCAAGUUCCGCCCAUCCUCCUCAGAGAUGCACCUUUGAAGGACUCCGGUAGUGCUUUUCUUAUAAAGCUCUCCCUCAUGGACUUUAUAGGCUUUAGAUCGCCGCACUAUGCAGCGUGCCUCAUUUUGGUCUUCUGGGAGUUCCUGCCUAGUAAGAUAGGCUAGGAAUGGUUCUGUCCACGGGGCGAUGACUGCCAUUAUUACGUGGGCUGAAUAUGUGACUUCAUUGGCAGAGUCUCCAAUUAUGUCAGUGUUGGCUAACGUAGCAGAAAUUCAAAAUUUUCCUACGUGUCACCAAGAUCUAUCUAUGCAGAAACCAGCAACGAGGGGAAGGAGAGUGCAUCUACAUACCCUUGUAGAUCGCUAAGCGGAAGCGUUCAAGAGAACGGGGUUGAAGGAGUCGUACUCGUCGUGAUCCAAAUCACCGAUGAUCCUAGUGCCGAACGGACGGCACCUCCGCGUUCAACACACGUACAGCCCGGUGACGUAUCCCACGCCUUGAUCCAGCAAGGAGAGAGGGAGAGGUUGAGGAAGACUCCAUCCAGCAGCAGCACAACGGCGUGGUGGUGGUGGAGGAGCGUGGCAAUCCUGCAGGGCUUCGCCAAGCACCACGGGAGAGGAGGAAGGAGAGAUGCAGGGCUGCAUCAUAUAGAGGAGAGGAACUCGCGUCUUAUGAGCAGCCCAAACCUCAACUAUAUAUAGGGGAAGGGGAGGGGCUGCGCCCCCUUUAGGGUUUCCACCCCUAGGGGUGGCGGCCAGCCUAGAUCCCAUCUAAGGGAGGCGGCCAAGGGGGAGGGGGAGAGGGAGGCGCACCAGGAUGGGCCUUAGGGCCCAUCUGCCCUAGGGUUUGCCCCCUUCUCCUCUCCCUUGCGCCUUGGGCCCUUGUGGGGGGGCGCACCAGCCCACCUGGGGCUGGUCCCCUUCCACACUUGGCCCAUGAAGCCCUCCGGGGCUGGUGGCCCCACUUGGUGGACCCCCGGGACCCUCCCGGUGGUCCCGGUACGUUACCGAUAAACCCCGAAACUUUUCCGGUGACCAAAACAGGACUUCCCAUAUAUAAAUCUUUACCUCCGGACCAUUCGGGAACUCCUCAUGACGUCCGGGAUCUCAUCCGGGACUCCUAACAACAUUCGGUAACCACAUACAAACUUCCUUUAUAACCCCAGCGUCAUCGAACCUUAAGUGUGUAGACCCUACGGGUUCGGGAGACAUGCAUACAUGACCGAGACGUUCUCCGGUCAAUAACCAACAGCGGGAUCUGGAUACCCAUGUUGGCUCCCACAUGUUCCACGAUGAUCUCAUCGGAUGAACCACGAUGGCAAGGACUUAAUCAAUCCCGUAUACAAUUCCCUUUGUCUAUCUGUACGAUACUCGCCCGAGAUUCGAUCGUCGGUAUCCCGAUACCUUGUUCAAUCUUGUUACCGGCAAGUCUCUUUACUCGUUCCGUAACACAUCAUCCCAUGAUCAACUCCUUGAUCACAUUGUGCACAUUAUGAUGAUGUCCUACCGAGUGGGCCCAGAGAUACCUCUCCGUCACACGGAGUGACAAAUCCCAGUCUCGAUUCGUGCCAACCCAACAGACACUUUCAGAGAUACCCGUAGUGUACCUUUAUAGCCACCCAGUUACGUUGUGACGUUUGGCACACCCAAAGCACUCCUACGGUAACCGGGAGUUGCACAAUCUCAUGGUCUAAGGAAAUGAUACUUGACAUUAGAAAAGCUUUAGCAUACGAACUACUUAGGAUUGGGUCUUGUCCAUCACAUCAUUCUCCUAAUGAUGUGAUCCCGUUAUCAACGACAUCCAAUGUCCAUGGUCAGGAAACCGUAACCAUCUAUUGAUCAACGAGCUAGUCAACUAGAGGCUUACUAGGGACAUGGUGUUGUCUAUGUAUCCACACAUGUAUCUGAGUUUCCUAUCAAUACAAUUCUAACAUGGAUAAUAAACGAUUAUCAUGAACAAGGAAAUAUAAUAAUAAUCAAUUUAUUAUUGCCUCUAGGGCAUAUUUCCAACAGUCUCCCACUUGCACUAGAGUCAAUAAUCCAGUUCACAUCGCUAUGUGACUAACACUCAAGGUCACAUGCCCAUGUGACUAACACCCAAAGAGUUUACUAGAGUCAAUAAUCUAGUUCACAUUUACCAUGUGAUUAACACUCGAUGAGUUCUGGGUUUGAUCAUGUUAUGCUUGUGAGAGAGGUUAUAGUCAACGGGUCUGAACCUUUCAGAUCCGUGUGUGCUUUACAAAUCUCUAUGUCAUCUCCUAGAUGCAGCUACCACGCUCUAUUUGGAGCUAUUCCAAAUAGCUGUUCUACUAUACGAAUCCAGUUUACUACUCAGAAUAAUCUGGAUUAGUGUCAAAGUUUGCAUCGGUGUAACCCUUUACGAUGAACUCUUUUACCACCUCCAUAAUCGAGAAAAUUCCUUAGUCCACUAGUUACUAAGGAUAACUUUGACCGCUGUCCUGUGAUCCAUUCUUGGAUCACUCUUGUACCCCUUGACUGACUCAUGGCAAGGCACACUUCAGGUGCGGUACAUAGCAUAGCAUACUGUAGAGCCUAUGUCUUAAGCAUAGGGGACGACCUUCGUUCUUUCUCUCUAUUCUGCCGUGGUCGAGCUUUAAGUCUUAACUUCAUACCUUACAACUCAGGCAAGAACUCCUUCUUUGACUGAUCCAUCUUGAACACCUUCAAGAUCAUGUCAAGGAAUGUGCUCAUUUGUAAGUACCAUUAAGUGUUUUGAUCUAUCCUUAUAGAUCUUGAUGCUCAAUGUUCAAACAGCUUAAUCCAGGCUUUCCAUUGAAAAAACACUUUCCAAAUAACCCUAUAUGCUUUCCAGAAAUUCUACGUCAUUUCUGAUCAACAAUAUGUCAACAACAUAUAUUCAUCAGAAAUUCUAUAGUGCUCCCACUCACUUCUUUGGAAAUACAAGUUUCUCAUAAACUUCGUAUUCACCCAAAAUCUUUGAUCAUCUCAUCAAAGCAUACAUUCCAACUCGAGAUGCUUACUCCAGUCCUUAGAAGGAUUGCUGGAGCUUUGCAUACUUAUUAGCAUAUUUCAGGAUUGACAAAACCUUCCGGUUGUAUCACAUACAACCUUUCCUCAAAAAUCGUCGAGGAAACAAUGUUUUGACAUCCUAUCUGCAAGAUUUCAUAAAUGAUGCAGUAAUUGCUAAUAUAAUUCCAACAGACUCUUAGCAUCGCUAUGAGUGAGAAAGUCUCAUCGUAGUCAACUCCUUGAACUUGUCGGAAAACAUCUUAAUGACAAGUCGAGCUUUCUUAAUGGUGAUACUUACCAUCAUUGUCCGUCUUCCUUUUAAAAUCCAUAUGUACCUAACAGCCUUACGACCAUCAAGUAGUUCUUCCAAAGUCUACACUUUGUUUUCACAUAUGGAUCCUCUCUCGGAUUAUAUGGCCUUGAGCCAUUUUGGAAUCCAUGCCCACCAUCGCUCCUCCAUAGCUCGUAGGUUCAUCGUUGUCUAGCAACAUGACUUCCAAGACAGGAUUACGUACCAUUCUGAAGCAGUACACAUCCUUGUCAUCCCACGAGGUUUGGUAGUGACUUGAUCUGAAGUUUCAUGAUCACUAUCAUAAGCUUCCACUUCAAUUGGUGUAGGUGCCACAGGAACAACUCCCUGUGCCCUGCCACACACUAGUUGAAGAGAUGGUUCAAUAACCUCAUCAAGUCUCCACCAUCCUCCCACUCAAUUCUUUCGAGAGAAACUUUUCCUCGAGAAAGGACCCGAUUCUAGUAACAAUCCCUUAUUGCUUUCGAAUCUGAGACAGGAGGUAUACCCAACCGUUUUGGGUGUCCUAUGAAGAUGUAUUUAUCCGCUUUGGGUUCGAGCUUAUCGGCCUGAAACUUUUUCACAUAAGCGUCGCAGCCCCAAACUUUUAAGAAAUGACAGCUUAGGUUUCUCUAAACCAUAGUUCAUACGGUGUCAUCUCAUCAGAAUUACGUGGUGCCCUAUUUAAAGUGAAUGUGGUUGUCUCUAAUGCCUAACCCAUAAACUAUUGUGGUAAUUCGAUAAGAGACAUCAUGGUAUGCAUCAUAUCCAAUAGGGUGCAGUUAUGAUGUUCGGACACACCAUCACACUAUGGUGUUCCAGGCUGUAUCAGUUGUGAAACAAUUUCCACAAUGUCUUAAUUCUGUGCCAAACUCGUAAUUCAGAUAUUCAUCUCUAUGAUCAUAUCAUAGAUAUUUUAUCCUCUUGUCACGAUGAUCUUUCAACUUCACCCUGAAAUUACUUGAACCUUUCAAUAAUUCAGACUCGUGAUUCAUCAAGUAAAUAUACUCAACAUCUACUCAAAUCAUCUAUGAAGUAAGAACAUAACGAUAUCCACUACAUGCCUCAGCACUCAUUGGACUGCACACAUCAAAAUGUAUUACUUCCAACAAGUUGCUUUCUAGUUCCAUUUUACUGAAACUGAGGCUUUCAGUCAUCUUGCCCAUGUGGUAUGAUUUGCAUGUCUCAAGUGAUUCAAAAUCAAGUGAGUCCAAAUGGUCCAUUUGCAUGGAGUUUCUUCAUGCAUAUACACCAAUAGACAUGGUUCGCAUGUCUCAAACUUUUCAAAAACGAGUGAUCCCAAAGAUCCAUCAACAUGGAGCUUCUUCAUGCGUUUUAUACCGAUAUGACUUACGUGGCAGUGCCACAAGUAGGUGGUACUAUCAUUACUAUCUUAUAUCUUUUGGCAUGAACAUGUGUAUCACUACGAUCGAGAUUCAAUAAACCAUUCAUUUUAGGUGCAAGACCAUUGAAGGUAUUAUUCAAAUGAACAGAGUAACCAUUAUUCUCCUUAAAUGAAUAGCCGUAUUGCGAUAGACAUAAUCCAAUCAUGUCUAUGCUCAACGCAAACAGCAAAUAACAAUUAUUUAGGUUUAACACCAAUCUCGAUGGUAGAGGGAGCGUGCGAUGCUUGAUCAUAUCAACAUUGGAAACACUUCCAACACAUAUCGUCAGCUCACCUUUAGCUAGUCUCCGUUUAUUCCGUAGCUUUUAUUUCAAGUUACAAACACUUAGCAACCGAACCGGUAUCUAAUACCCUGGUGCUACUAGGAGUACCAGUAAAGUACACAUUAACACAAUGUAUAUCCAAUAUACUUCUAUCGACCUUGCCAGCCUUCUCUUCUACCAAGUAUCUAGGGUAAUUCUGCUCCAGUGGCUGUUCCCCUUAUUACAGAAGCACUUAGUCUCGGGUUUGGGUUCAACCUUGGGUUUCUUCACUAGAGCAGCAGCUGAUUUGCCGUUUCAUGAAGUAUCCCUUCUUGCCCUUGCCCUUCUUGAAACUAGUGGUUUCACCAACCAUCAACAAUUGAUGCUCCUUCUUGAUUUCUACUUUUGUGGUGUCAAACAUCGCGAAUAUCUCAAGGAUCAUCAUAUAUGUCCCUGAUAUAUUAUAGUUCAUCACGAAGCUCUAGCAGCUUGGUGGUAAUGACUUCGGAGAAACAUCACUUUCUCAUCUGGAAGAUCAACUCCCACUCGAUUCAAAUGAUUGUUGUACUCAGACAAUCUGAGCACAAGCUCAACAAUUGAGCUUUUCUCCCUUAGUUUGCAGGCUAAGAAAAUCGUCAGAGGUCUUAUACCUCUUGACGUGGGCACGAGCCUGAAAUCCAAAUUUCAGCCCUCGAAACAUCUCAUAUGCUUCGCGGCGUUUCAAAACGUCUUCGGUGCCUCAACUCUAAACCGUUUAACUAAACUAUCACGUAGUUAUCAAAAUGUGUAUGUCAGAUGUUCGCAACAUCCACAGACAACGUUCGAGGUUCAGCACAUUGAGUGGUGCAUUAAGGACAUAAGCCUUCUAUGAAGCAAUGAGGACAAUCCUCAGUUUACGGACCUAGUCCGCAUAAUUGCUACUAUCAACUUUCAACUAAUUUUUUUCUCUCUAGGAACAUAUCUAAACAGUAGAACUAAAGUGCGAGCUAUGACAUAAUUUGCAAAAUCCUUUUGACUAUGUUGAGGAUAAACAAGUUGAUCUUAUGAACUUCCACUCAGAUAGAUAUCCCUCUAGUCAUCUAAGUGAUUACAUGAUCCGAGUCAACUAGGCCGUGUCCGAUCAUCACGUGAGACGGACUAGUCAUCAUCGGUGAACAUCUUCAUGUUGAUCGUAUCUACCAUACGACUCAUGCUCGACCUUUCGGUCUCUUGUGUUCCGAGGCCAUGUCUGUACAUGCUAGGCUCGUCAAGUCAACCUAAGUGUUUCGGGUGUGUAAAUCUGUCUUACACCCGUUGUAUGUGAACGUUAGAAUCUAUCACACCCGAUCAUCACGUGGUGCUUCGAAACGACGAACUUUCGCAACGGUGCACAGUUAGGGGGAACACUUUCUUGAAAUUUUAAUGAGGGAUCAUCUUAUUUACUACCGUCGUUCUAAGCAAAUAAGAUGUAUAAACAUGAUAAACAUCACUUGCAAUCAAAUAGUGACAUGAUAUGGCCAAUAUCAUAGUGCUCCUUUUGAUCUCCAUCUUCGGGGCUCCAUGAUCAUCAUCACCGGCAUGACACCAUGAUCUCCAUCAUCAUGAUCUCCAUCAUCGUGUCUUCAUGAUGUUGUCUCGCCAACUAUUACUUCUACUACUACAGCUAACGGUUAGCAAUAAAGUAAAGUAAUUACAUGGCGUUGUUUAAUGACAAGCAGGUCAUAUAAUAAAUUAAGAAACUCCUAUGGCUCCUGCCGGUUGUCAUACUCAUCGACAUGCAAGUCGUGAUUCCUAUUACAAGAACAUGAUCAAUCUCAUACAUCACAUAUCAUUCAUCACAUUCUUCUUGGCCAUAUCACAUCACAUAGCAUACCCUGCAAAAACAAGUUAGACGUCCUCUAAUUGUUGUUUGCAUGUUUUACAUGGCUGCUAUGGGUUUCUAGCAAGAACGUUUCUUACCUAGGCAAAACCACAACGUGAUAUGCCAAUUGCUAUUUACCCUUCAUAAGGACCCUUUUCAUCGAAUCCGAUCCGACUAAAGUGGGAGAGACAAACACCCGCCAGCCACCUUAUGCAACUAGUGCAUGUUUGUCGGUGGAACCGGUCUCACGUAAGCGUACGUGUAAGGUUGGUCUGGGCCGCUUCAUCCCACAAUGCCGCCGAAUCAAGAUUGGACUAGUAACGGUAAGCAUAUUGAACAAAAUCAACGCCCACAACUACUUUGUGUUCUACUCGUGCAUAGAAUCUACGCAAUAGACCUAGCUCAUGAUGCCACUGUUGGGUAACGUAGCAGAAAUUCAAAAUUUUCCUACGUGUCACCAAGAUCUAUCUAUGGAGAAACCAGCAACGAGGGGAAGGAGGGUGCAUCUACAUACCCUUGUAGAUCGCUAAGCGGAAGCGUUCAAGAGAACGGGGUUGAAGGAGUCGUACUCGUCGUGAUCCAAAUCACCGAUGAUCCUAGUGCCGAACGGACGGCACCUCCGCGUUCAACACACGUACAGCCCGGUGACGUAUCCCACGCCUUGAUCCAGCAAGGAGAGAGGGAGAGGUUGAGGAAGACUCCAUUCAGCAGCAGCACAACGGCGUGAUGGUGGUGGAGGAGCGUGGCAAUCCUGCAGGGCUUCGCCAAGCACCACGGGAGAGGAGGAAGGAGAGAUGCAGGGCUGCGUCAUAUAGAGGAGAGGAACUCGCGUCUUAUGAGCAGCCCAAACCUCAACUAUAUAUAGGGGAAGGGGAGGGGCUGCGCCCCCUUUAGGGUUUCCACCCCUAGGGGUGGCGGCCAGCCUAGAUCCCAUCUAAGGGAGGCAGCCAAGGGGGAGGGGGAGAGGGAGGCGCACCAGGAUGGGCCUUAGGGCCCAUCUGCCCUAGGGUUUGCCCCCUUCUCCUCUCCCUUGCGCCUUGGGCCCUUGUGGGGGGGGGGGGAGCACCAGCCCACCUGGGGCUGGUCCCCUUCCACACUUGGCCCAUGAAGCCCUCCGGGGCUGGUGGCCCCACUUGGUGGACCCCCGGGACCCUCCCGGUGGUCCCGGUACGUUACCGAUAAACCCCGAAACUUUUCCGGUGACCAAAAUAGGACUUCCCAUAUAUAAAUCUUUACCUCCGGACCAUUCCGGAACUCCUCGUGACGUCCGGGAUCUCACCCGGGACUCCGAACAACAUUCGGUAACCACAUACAAACUUCCUUUAUAACCCUAGAGUCAUCGAACCUUAAGUGUGUAGACCCUAUGGGUUCGGGAGACAUGCAGACAUGACCGAGACGUUCUCCGGUCAAUAACCAACAGCGGGAUCUGGAUACCCAUGUUGGCUCCCACAUGUUCCACGAUGAUCUCAUCGGAUGAACCACGAUGUCAAGGACUUAAUCUAUCCCGUAUACAAUUCCCUUUGUCUAUCGGUACGAUACUCGCCCGAGAUUCGAUCGUCGGUAUCCCGAUACCUUGUUCAAUCUCAUUACCGGCAAGUCUCUUUACUCGUUCCGUAACACAUCAUCCCGUGAUAAACUCCUUGAUCACAUUGUGCACAUUAUGAUGAUGUCCUACCGAGUGGGCCCAGAGAUACCUCUCCGUCACACGGAGUGACAAAUCCCAGUCUCGAUUCGUGCCAACCCAACAGACACUUUCGAAGAUACCCGUAGUGUACCUUUAUAGCCACCCAGUUACGUUGUGACGUUUGGCACACCCAAAGCACUCCUACGGUAACCGGGAGUUGCACAAUCUCAUGGUCUAAGGAAAUGAUACUUGACAUUAGAAAAGCUUUAGCAUACGAACUACACGAUCUAGUGCUAUGCUUAGGAUUGCGUCUUUUCCAUCACAUCAUUCUCCUAAUGAUGUGAUCCCGUUAUCAACGACAUCCAAUGUCCAUGGUCAGGAAACCGUAACCAUCUAUUGAUCAACGAGCUAGUCAACUAGAGGCUUACUAGGGACAUGGUGUUGUCUAUGUAUCCACACAUGUAUCUGAGUUUCCUAUCAAUACAAUUCUAGCAUGGAUAAUAAACGAUUAUCAUGAACAAGGAAAUAUAAUAAUAAUCAAUUUAUUAUUGCCUCUAGGGCAUAUUUCCAACAGUCAGAUUGUUCGGUGUUGGGCAGUGCGGUUGAGUCCGGGCUGUUAUUGCCGGGUUCCCCUUCCCAUACUACGGACGGCUUGAAUAGCCUUUCCAAGAAGAUGUUGGGAGGGACUGCAUCGCGUUUUGCGCCGAUGCGUGCCAGGACAUCCGCCGCCUGAUUAUUUUCCCGGGCUAUAUGGUGAAAUUCGAGCCCUUCGAACCGAGCUGACAUUUUUAAGACGACGUUGCGAUAAGCUGCCAUUUUUGGAUCCUUGGCAUCGAAGUCUCUGUUUAUUUGGGAUAUUGCAAGGUUCGAAUCCCCUCGCACUUCUAGGCGUUGAAUACCCAUGGAUACUGCCAUCUAGAGACCAUGUAAGAGGGCCUCGUAUUCGGCUGCAUUGUUGGAGUCUGUGUACAUAAUCUGGAGUACAUAUUGAACUAUGUCUCCUGUGGGGGACGUCAAAACGACGCCAGCCCCCAGACCGGCCAACAUUUUGGAGCCGUAGAAAUGCAUGAUCCAGUUUUAAUAUGUGCCGUACUCUUUAGGGAGUUCAGCCUCCGUCCAUUCUGUGACGAAGUCAGCCAAAACUUGCGACUUGAUAGCUCGCCGUGGCUUAUAAGUUAUGUCGAACGAGAGGAGCUCGAUGGCCCAUUUCGCAAUCCGGCCCGUUGCGUCGCGGUUGUUUAUAAUAUCGUUUAGUGGUACUUCUGAGGCUACUGUUAUUGAACACUCUUGAAAGUAGUGUCGCAGCUUCCGGGAUGCCAUGAAUACCGCGUACGCAAUCUUUUGAUAAUGCGGGUACCUUGAUUUGCACGGAGUGAGGACAGUGGCCACAUAAUAGACCGGCUUCUGAAGGGGGAAUUUGUGUCCGUCCGUUUCUCGUUCGACGACGAGCACUGCGCUCACAACCUGAUGGGUUGCUGCAAUGUAUAAUAGCAUUGGUUCGCCAAUGUUUGGCGCGGCCAGGACUGGGUUUGUUGCCAAUAUGGCUUUUAUUUUGUCGAGUCCGGCCGUGGCUGCGUCCGUCCACUCGAAGUGUUCGGUGCGCCGAAGGAGGCGGUAAAGGGGGAGUGCCUUUUCUCCCAAGCGGGAGAUAAAGCGGCUUAGAGCCGCCACGCAUCCGGUUUACUUUUGUAUUUGUUUGAGGUCCUUUGGGAUAUCCAAUUGUGACAGAGCUCGGAUCUUGGCUGGAUUUGCUUCAAUUCCUCUACCGAAUACAAUGAAGCCCAAGAGCUUACCGGCUGGAACGCCGAAAACGCAUUUUUCCGGGUUGAGCUUGAUGUCGUAUGUUCGAAGGUUAUCAAAUGUGAGCCUCAAGUCGUCUACUAGGGAUUCAACAUGUCUUGUUUUUACGACCACAUCAUCUACGUAUGCCUCCACUGUUUUGCCGAUCUGGUUUGCCAGACAUGUCUGAAUCAUGCGCUGAUAUGUUGUUUUGAGCCCGAAGGGCAUUGUGUUGAAGCAGAAUGGGCCGUAUGGUGUGAUGAAUGCCGUUGCGGCUUGGUCUGAUUCUGCCAUCUUGAUUUGAUGGUAGCCGGAAUAUGCGUCGAGCAAGCACAACAAAUCGUGUCCUACAGUAGCGUUGAUAAUUUGAUCGAUGCGAGGGAGGGGGAAGGGAUCCUUUGGGCAAGCCUUAUUAAGGUCUUUAAAAUCAACGCACAGGCGCUAGGAUUUGUCCUUCUUUGGUACCAUCACCAGGUUUGCUAGCCAGUUCGGAUGUUUUAUAUCUCUGAUGGAUCCGGCCUCUAAUAGCUUGGCUAGCUCCUCUCCCAUGGCCUGUCUCUUAGGUUCGGAAAAACGCCGAAGAGCCUGUUUGACAGGUUUGAAUCCUUUAGGAUAUUUAAGCUGUGUUCGGCCAGCCUGCGUGGGAUUCCUGGCAUGUCUGAAGGGUGCCAGGCGAAAAUGUCCCAGUUCUCACGUAGGAACUCUCGUAGUGCGGCGUCUACAUCAGGGUUUAAUUGUGCACCGAUGGAAGCUGUUUUAUUGGGGUCCGUUGGAUGGACCUGGAAUUUGACUAUUUCGUCCGCUGGUUUAAAUGAGGUGGACUUGGAUAUUUUGUCGAGUAUCACAUCAUCCCUGUUCACCGUGGAGCGCAGCGCAGUCAGCUCCUCAGCCGCUAGGGCUUCGGAUAGUGCCUCAAGGGCCAGUGCGACUGUCUUAUUUUAGGCGCGGAGUGCUAUGUCCAGAUCACUAGCGAGAGUGAUGAUUCCGUUCGGCCCGGGCAUCUUGAGUUUCAUGUACCCAUAAUGGGGUAUUGCUUGGAAGAUUGUGAACGCUUCCCGCCCUAGCAGAGCAUGGUAUCCGCUACUGAACGGGACCACUUGGAACGUGACCUCCUUGGACCUGUAAUUAUCCGGCGUGCCGAACACCACAUCUAGUGUGAUUUUUCCUGUACAGCACGCUUCCUGACUGGGGAUUAUUCCUCUAAAGGUUGUGCUGCUUCGCUCAAUGCGGUUCCAGUCUAUUUCCAUUUUUUGAAGGGUUUCCUCAUAAAUGAGGUUCAAUCCGCUGCCUCCAUCCAUGAGUACCUUGGUAAGGCGAAAGCCGUCCACUAUUGGACUGAGGACCAAUGUGGCUGGUGCUCGGGCUGUUCGGAAUUUAGGUUCAUCACUGGCAUUAAAAGUAAUAGCCGUGUCACUCCAUGGGUUUAUUGUUGCUACUUGGUAGACUUCGGCAAGGCUGCGGAGUGUUCUUUUUCGCAUAUUAUUUGAUGCGGAAGUCUCGAAGACUGUUAAUACCGUACCGGUAUCCCUGGGGUGGCUUUCUAUGGCCUCCGGAAUUAGGAGAUCUUUGCCAAUUUUGGCCACCUGCCGGAGUAUCCAACAUGCUCUAAGGCUGUGAGUUGGUGUGGCGCCCUCUGUACUGUGAAUUUUACAGGGUCGAUUAAGCCAUCCUUCCAAUACGCUUCCAUGCCCUGUAGAGGAUUUUUGCUUUUUGGUGUUUAACCCGGGUGUCUGGCGAAGAUGCACCCUUUUAUUUUGGACUGGGUUUGUAUUCAGGGCCGGAUUGUCCCAAAAUUUUAUUUUGGUUUUCCAGUCGCUAUCCAUCGCAUAGUACUUUCGUACUAUGGACGCCAAGUCAGCGAAGCAUGUAAUAUCACGGCGACUUAUGGCGUUGAGGAUUCCCUUGUCCGUGCAAUUAUUGCAGAAGAAUGAGAUUGCGUCUUCCUCGCGGCAGUCCUUGAUCCUGUUCAUAGCCAGGAGGAAUCUGGCCCAGUAAUGAUGUACUGUUUCUUCGGGCUUUUGCCUAAUUUGGGAUAGAUCGCUUAUGUUCGGGUGGGUGGGUGGAAUUAAAUCCGAAAACUGACCCGAUAUGAGACUCAGAGGCCAAGGAGUUUCCGAACUCGGAAGUUUGGAUUCUUGGAUGUUGUCCAAUGAGUCUAGCCCGUCGCCUGACUCUAAGUUCAGGUCUUGAGUGAUGUCCUCCCUUCCGCGGGUAUCCGGCUUGGAGGGAUCGGGAAUCCAGACGUAACUAGUCCUUAAGAUAGAUGAAGGGUCGCCGCACUGUCCCUCUACCAUAGCAAUGUGAUGGGUGACCUGGGGAGAGUUAAUCUCUCUUAGAUCGGGUUUAGGCCCAAUCUGGUCAUAAUCCGUGGCGACUCCCAGGGCGGCGAUGCGAUCCAAGAGCUCGUUUAUGGAAGAGAGCUCCAUUGGAUCUAACUGCUCGGCGAGUUCCGAGCUGACAUGAAUACUGCUUUUGAUGACCCGAGAGGUCAUCGUCGGCGCAGCAGCCGAACAGGCGGUCAUAAGAAAACCGCCUAGCCGGAGAGUUUGGCCGACAGCCAAAGCUCCCUUAGCAACGGUUCCGUCUUUAAAGACGGGAUGAGGCAUCCUUCCUGAUGGCGACGGCACAGAGGAACUCUCAAUGAAAGCACCAAUGUCGGUGUCAAAACCGGCGGAUCUCGGGUAGGGGGUCCCGAACUGUGCGUCUAGGCGGAUGGUAACAGGAGACAAGGGACACGAUGUUUACCCAGGUUCGGGCCCUCUCGAUGGAGGUAAAACCCUACUCCUGCUUGAUUAAUAUUGAUGAUAUGGGUAGUACAAGAGUAGAUCUACCACGAGAUCAAGGAGGCUAAACCCUAGAAGCUAGCCUAUGGUAUGAUUGUUGUUGUCCUACGGACUAAAACCCUUCGGUUUAUAUAGACACCAGAGAGGGUUAGGGUUACACAGAGUCGGUUACAAUGGUAGGAGAUCUACAUAUCCGUACCACCAAGCUUGCCUUCCACGCCAAGGAAAGUCCCUUCCGGACAUGGGACGAAGUCUUCAAUCUUGUAUCUUCAUAGUCCGGGAGUCCGGCUGAAGGUAUAGUCCGGCUAUCCAGACACCCCCUAAUCCAGGACUCCCUCACCCAGGUUUUCAGCCAAGAUUAUAACUAACCAUGUCGACAAUAACUCUUAAACAUUAUAUUAACUCUUAUGAGUAGAGGCCGCGGGAAAAAGCCUAGUAGUAGCGCGGAUAAAAGACUAGUAGUAGUGCGGGUGCCCGUGCUACUACUACGGCGCUACAGCUAACUCGUAGUAGUAGCGCAGGUGCCACCCGCGCUACUAGUACGUGUGUUAGUAAUAGCGCGGAUUCUACACACGCUACUAUUAACUAUCUGUAGCGCCUGUCUGUGACCCGCGCUACUACUAUUAAUUUCAAAAACCAAAAAAAAAAUCUCGACCCCGUGCAUGUUGUCAAUGGUGUCAUUGAUUCGAUCCAGCGACAACAAGGGUUGCCGGAGGUGUGGACGGGUAGUGGCAGACCAGAUCCGGCGAUGGCUGUUGGAGAUGGCCGGAUCCAGUGUAGAGCAAGACGACGGUGUGAGGAUCCUCUUCGCGGUCAAGGCGGAGAACUCCUGGUUGGCCAUGUCGACGACCUGUGCAGGCAUGGGCAUGGGAGGUGAGUAAAACCAAAGGGAGAGGGAGAGGAGAGGGAGAGGGAAAAAGAGAAACAAGGGAGAAAGGAGGGAGAUGGAGGGUGUAUCGGGGCUGCAUGGAGGCGAGGAGGAAGACGGGCGAGCUCUUGGAUGCCAGCGAUGCGAGGAGGAAGACGUUGGGUGCCAUGGAGGAGGAGAUAUUCUUGGGCAGGAGCACCAUGGAGAGAGGGGGAAAGUGAGGGAGAGAGGAGGAAAGUGAGAGAGGGGGAAAGUGAGGGAGAGAGGAGGGAUUCGGCCGAGGAUAUGGAGAUUUCACCUACCUCGUACUUAGUAGUAGCGAGGGGUAUAAAACCGCGCUACUACUAUCAACAUAGUAGUAGCAUGGGUUUGUACCCCUCGCUACUACUAUGGCAUGUCCCGGGAGGGCACGGUAGACACCGCUUAGUAGUAGCGAGGGUGAAAAACCCGCGCUAAUAGUAUCAACUUAGUAGUAGCGAGGGGUAAAAACCCGUGCUACUAGUAAGUAGCAGUAGCGACGGUUAUAAACCCGUGCUACUAGUAAGCGUCUGCCUAUAAGCUUUUCCCUAGUAGUGGCAUAUCUAUGACAUAAUCAACUAGCGAGCAAUAAUAAGAUAUCUCAAACAACAACACGUUGUGAAAACAACCAUGAUAUAAUAUGACAAUAGUGGUAUCUCGCUAGCCCUUUCUAAGACCGCAAAACAUAAAUGUAGAGCACCUCCAAAGUUCAAGCAGCGACCAAACAUUGUAAUUCAUGGUAGAAAAGAUCUAGUCAUGAUGCACCCAACAUUAGCAACACAUAGUGCAUCAGCAUGUCAACAGUGCUCUCUGGAUUUGGCACUUAUUUUAGAAGGUGAUGACACAACAUAAAAGUAAAUAGAUAGUCCCUUCGCAGAGGGAAGCAGUGAUUUGCAGCGGUGCCAGAGCUCAAAAUUUAAAAAUAGAGGUAAAUGAAAUUUUGGGAAAUUGAUACGUCUCCAACGUAUCUAUAAUUUUUUAUUGUUCCAUGCUAUAUUAUAUUAUGUUUUGGAUGUUUAAUGGGCUUAUUUAUACACUUUUAUAUUAUUUUUGGGACUAACCUAUUAACCGGAGGCCCAGCCCAUAUUGUUGUUUUUGUUCCUAUUUCAGUGUUUCGCAAAAAAAAGAAUAUCAAACGGAAUGAAACCUUCGGGAACAUGAUUUUUAAAACAAACGUGAUUCAGAGGACUUGGAGUCCAUGUCAAGCAGUCAAUGAGGAGGGCACGAGGCAGGGGGCGCUCCUACCUCCCCCUAGGCGCGCCCUCCACCCUCAUGGGGCCCACGUUGCUCCACCGACGUACUUCUUCCUCCUAUAAUACCUACGUACCCCCAAACCAUCAGGGGCAUCCACGAAAACCUAAUUCCACCGCCGCAACCUUCUGUACACGUGAGAUCCCAUCUUGGGGCCUUUUCCGGCGUCCUGCCGAAGGGGGCAUUGAUCACGGAGGGCUUCUACAUCAACACCAUAGCCACUCCGAUGAUGUGUGAGUAGUUUACCUCAGACUUUCGGGUCCAUAGUUAUUAGCUAGAUGGCUUCUUCUCUCUCUUUGGAUCUCAAUACAAAGUUCUCCACGAUUCUCGUGGAGAUCUAUUCGAUGUAAUCUUCUUUUGCGGUGUGUUUGUUGGGACCGAUGAAUUGUGGAUUUAUGAUCAAGUUUAUCUAUGAACAAUAUUUGAAUAUCCUCUGAAUUCUUUUAUGUAUGAUUGGUUAUCUUUGCAAGUCUCUUCGAAUUAUCAGUUUGGUUUGGCCUACUAGAUUGAUCUUUCUUGCAAUGGGAGAAGUGCCUAGCUUUGGGUUCAAUCUUAUGGUGUCGUUUCCCAGUGACAGCAGGGGCAGCAAGGCACGUAUUGUAUUGUUGCCAUCGAGGAUAACAAGAUGGGGUUUAUAUCAUAUUGCAUGAGUUUAUCUCUCUACAUCAUGUCAUCUUGCUUAAAGCGUUACUCUGUUCUUAUGAACUUAAUACUCUAGAUGCAUGCUGGGUAGCGAUCGAUGUGUGGAGUAAUAGUAGUAGAUGCAGGCAGGAGUCGGUCUACUUGUCACGGACAUGAUGCAUAUAUACAUGAUCAUACCUAGAUAUUCUCAUAACUAUGCUCAAUUCUAUCAAUUGCUCGACAGUAAUUUUUUCACCCACCGUAAUACUUAUGCUUUUGAGAGAAGCCACUAAUGAAACAUAUGGCCCCCGGGUCUAUUUUCCAUCAUAUUAAUCUUCCAACACAUAGCCUUUUCUAUUGCCCUUUUAUUUUACUUUGCAUCUCUAUUUCUCUUUAUCAUAGAAAUACUAAAAAUAUUAUCUUAUCAUAUCUAUCAGAUCUCACUCUCGUUAGUGACCGUGAAGGGAUUGACAACCCCUUUAUCGCGUUGGUUGCGAGGUUCUUAUUUGUUUUGUGUAGGUGCGUGGGACUUGAGCGUGGCCUCCUACUGGAUUGAUACCUUUGUUCUCAAAACUGAGGGAAAUACUUACACUACUUUGCUGCAUCACCUUUUCCUCUUCAAGGGAAAAACCAACGCAGUGCUCAAGAGGUAGCAAGAAAGAUUUCUGGCGCCGUUGCCGGGAGUUUACGCAAAAGUCAACAUACCAAGUACCCAUCACAAACUCUUAUCCCUUGCAUUACAUUAUUUGCCAUUUGCCUCUCGUUUUCCUCUCCCUCACUUCACCCUUGCCGUUUUGUUCGCCCUCUCUUCCGCUCACCUUUCCUUCGCCAUGUCGGAACCAAAAAGAGUUGGGGGUUCUCUCCCGAGUUUUAGUACUUUGGACGAUCCUUCUAUUCUAUCUAAACUCAUAAAUAAUGUCAUGGUAAAACCUGCCGGAGUUGUCAAUGAGAGUCUUAAUAAUUUUGAUGAAGAUGAUUCCGGAAUUUUUCGUUAUUUACUCGAUGAAUCUUUGAAAGAUGCUUGGGAUAGACUGUUAAGGAUCCGGGCUAACUAUGUGCCCCAAUACCAAAUUGAAGUUUACUUGAAGAGCUUUUAUGUUGCCCUACCUUCUUCGUUUAAGCAUGUCUUAGAUUCUAUAUUUGAAGAAGACUUUCUUGAAGGGGAUGCCGUAGAUACUUAUGAAAAGAUGAAAACCAUAUUUGGGCACCCCAUGAAUGAGAAAAUUAAAUCUACAUCUCUUUUGCUCUCCAGUCCUUGGUUCAUGUAAAUCUGAAUCUAGCCGGCACUACCCCUUCACAAGCUGUUGCAUAGUCUUCAGCGAGGUGCGGCGCAACUUCCGUGUGAGGGGAAAUGAACUUCUCCACGAAUACCUUCUCUCUCACCUUGAAAGCGGUAUAGUAGUAGCCUGGGUUGCACUUGAGCAAUCCAUUUUCCAUGAGAAACUUUACAACGUAGUACCUGGGUUUCAUCCAGCCCUCCAGCUGUAAUUGAUAAUUACUGACCGUUGAGCAAUGUAGGUAGGUUCCAACCCCACCUCAGAGAUGAGGAAAUCAGACCUGCGCUGCAGUAAUUCCUUUGACUUCCUCAGCAGACACGGAGCGUUACGCACAACAAUGCUCACCUCAGCGUCUGACCACCUGAACAUCUUCUUCAAGUAGGCCACAUUGGCGGCGAUCUUCUCCUCGCUGAGGAAUCUGACAGCAUCCAACGUGUGUCUGAACAUCCUGAGCCACGAGGCAUGCCAAGGCCUUCGGCGCAUGCCACCAUCGCCCUGACGCGUUCUGGCUUGUUGCUCAGGACACCCCGCGCGCGGAGGGACAAUUUGGUGAUAUCGCAAUCAUCUAGCCCGCAUUGCCGUAGGAGCGCGACGUUGGGUUUGACCAUCCCGUCGAUGUCAGCGCCGGCGAGGUAGCCUUGCUUGAGCACCCGGAAGAGGUUCUCCGAGGAGCUGAAUAGGAGCAGGUAGUACCGCAACUUGGAAACAAUGGACCUGGAACAGAAGUGGGCGAAGGAGAGCGCGACGAGGCGCACGAUCUCAGUACGCGAGAGGCCGAGGCCGGUGAGCCCACGACGACGGGGGCUAGAGUUUUCUCUACUUUGGCGCAGAGGAACAACGGGUCUUUGGCGACGAGGGCGGCGACGUCGGUGCCGGAGAGGCCGAGGCCGGCGAGGAAGGAAAGGACGGCGUCGGGCUUGGACGGAGACUUGAGGUGGGAGAGCUUGGCGGAGGCCUUGAGUGCCUGGGGUCGGGUGAGGCCGCAGGUGGAGACGAGGUAGUCGUCGACGACGAAGCUAGGGUUUGGGGAAACGCCGGGCGCGGCGGCCGCGGAGAGGGGGCGGUGGAGAGGGGGGCCUGAGAGGUGGCGGGGGAAGAGAGGAGCCGCACGAGGAUGCAGCCACGGAGGCGGAGCAUGGCGGCGGUGGCGGCGGAGAGAUUGAUUCCCUAUGGAGGCGGGUGCGAAUGGGAUGGUGCUUCGGAGGCGGGGAUGCGGCGCCCUGGCGAGGCAGGUGAGGAACGGAGGAAGAGAACAGGAGGAGAGAUCGAAGAGGAUGGCACUUCGGCGGCGCCGCCGAAGAGAUUUUCCGGUCCGCUGUGAGUGGAGAGGAAAAAUGGGAAAUGGCAGGUGCGAUGCGAAUGGAGGCUCCGCAAAUUGCAAUAUCACUGAAUCCCAGGGGUCUUUACGUCUUUCAAAAAUACAAACUACAUUUAAAAAACAUACAUAAUACAUUGAGCCUCAUGGAAACUUUCAUAUACACAUGGAAAAUAGAUAUCCCCUCCGUUCAAUAACGUAGUGCGUAUAGAUUUUCGAAAGUCAGACUUUGCAAAAUAUGAUCAAAUUUAUAAAGAAAACUACUUAUACCUACAUUAUCAAAUAUAUAAAAUAUGAACCUACGUCUUGUCUUAUGAUGAACCUAAUGAUAUAUGUUUGACAUCUAGAUGUAAAUGUUUUUCUUCACAAACUUGGUCAAAUUUUGUUAGGUUUGACUUUUCAAAAAAUCUGUAUGCAAUCAUUAUGCAAUCGGUAUAAUAAGGAAAAUGGCUUUGAGAGAUAAGAUUAUAUCACAAAAUAAGUUAUUAUACGACUUGUACUUAUCUUGUGAUUUUUUUGUAGGUAUAGUACUUCCUCCAUUUUUAUUUACUCUGCAUAUUAGAGUUGACUGAAGUCGAACUUCGUAAAGUUUGACCAAGUUUAUAAAAAAUAUAUAAAUAUUUACCCUAACAAAUCUAUAUGAUACGAAAGUACGUUCAAUAAUGAAUAUAAUGGUAUUGAUUUGUUAUUGUACAAGUUAAUAUUUUUGACUAUAAACUUUGUCAAAAUUUAUAAAGCUUGACUUUGACUAAAACUAAUAUGGAGAGUAAAUAAAAACGAAGGGAGUAAAUGGCUAUGCUUUUUUUAUAGGUAGUAAAUGGUUACUUUUUUCCGAUUUUUUUAAAUGGUUAUGCUUGCUAAUCAAUCCAAUCCAAAUUAUAUGUCGCUCAAACAGAUGUAUCUAAUUAAUAUGGAUUGGAUGGAGCAGAAAAGUUCAUACGGAUAUAUAUUUUCUCAAAACUUGAAAGUAUGAUUUCUACAAGUAAAAAAAAUCAUAUGUGAACUAUGUUUGUUUUUAGCAUUUUGUGUGUGUUCAUGUUUUUCUCUCUCUCUCUCUCUCUCUCUCUUCAUUCUAGCCUCUUUUCCCCCACCUCACUCUGUUCUCACAUUGACAUUGUUGCCUUUUUCAACGGACUCCUACUUAUCUUUUCUAAAUUUUGCAAGGUGAGAAUUGAGAAGGUUAUUAUUCUUUAGUUUUAUGUGUAUAGCUAUAUUAGAGUUGAGAUCAAUUGCAUCGUGUCCACAAAUCCUCUAUAACACUAAGCUCCCUAGUUUUAAAAAGCCCACACUCAAUUAAGGUCUCUAAUUAGAAUUGGAUCAUCCAAUUUUGAUCGGGUCUACAAUUUCUCAAAGCUUCACAAUCCAAUUCUUUUAUACUAUACAAUAUGCUUCCUAAUUUUUAAGGCCUCAUAAUUAUUAAGGUAUUUAAUAUAGGUUGAUCAUCCAAUUUUGACUGGGUCAACAAUUUCUCAACCUCUUCAAUUGAAUUUUUUUAAUUCACUAUGUUCCAAAAUUUUGAAUCUCUUUCAUUCAAUUGAGGUAUUCAAUUUUGAUUUGGUUGACGAUUUUGACUGGGCCAAUGAUUUUCAAAUCAAUCAGCUGCAACUGACCUAUAAAAACAUAUCAAUCCCAUGCACCCCUCCCACCACAUAGAAAAAAGAAGCGUCACCAUAUGAUAUUGUAGUAUCAAUAUAGUACAUGCAACCACCGAUGCAGAAAUUUUCCCACAUAAAUAUAGGUUGGUUAGCGGAUGACACAGUCAUCUCCCCACCCGCCUAACUUAAUAUUCCAUCAGUUACUCCCUCCGUUCCACAAUGUAGCGCAUAUAAAUUUUUCUAGAAGUCAAACUUUAUAAACUUUGACCAAGUUUGUAGAGAAAAUCAUAUACAUCUAGAAUACCAAAUACGUGUGCUUAGAUACAUCACAACACAUACUUUCAUAUUAUAUACAUUUGGUAUUGUAGAUAUAAAUAGUUUUCUCUAUAAAAUUGGUCAAAGUUUAUAAAGUUUGACUUUGUAGAAAAUCUAUAUGCGCUACAUUAUGGAACGGAGGGAGUAUAAAAUAUGAAGGGUAUUAAUUUUGUAGAAAGUCAAACUUCUUUAACUUUGACCAACUUCAGAGCAAAAAUAUCAACAUCCACAAUAUUAAACAAAAAAAGUAUGGAAAUUCAUUUCGUGAUGAAUCUAAAAAUACUGAUUUAAUCUUAUGAAUUUUGAUAUAUUUCUCUACAAAUUUGAUGAAACUUAAAAGGUUUGAUUUUAAAAAAUAUAAUACACAUUAUAUUGGGAAACAGAGUGAUUAGUUUUUUAAGAUAUCCAACAACAUGAACGGCGCAGCAAAGCGCGCACAACCCUUCUAGUUAGUAGUAUAUCUAAGAACAAUUGGCAUCCCAUUGAUGAUCGAUCAACCUUCUUAGUCCAGCUAGUGGCUGGUCGUCUAGAGAUCUAUAUGGAGUCAGUUGAGAUGCGAUGGUCAGCCAAGUGGGUUGAUCAAUGCUCCUCUUAAAAUUCGAAGCCUAAAGUAGAUGUGCUACUCGAGAAAUAAAAAGACCAACGUAGACCGUACUAACAUCUAAUAUUUGACGUCACAUUUGAAUUUGAUACUAUUCACAUCCAUAAUUGUCCCUUUGCUCAUCGAAUUAUGAAUCUUAUAUAAAUGUUGUAAAUGAUCAAUUUUAUAAUAAUUUUAGGGUUGUAGUUCGGUGCAUAGGUAGCUCAGAGGAACCAUAGCCGUCACUUCCUCUCCAAAAAAGCUUAGGGUUCCUAUGCGGCCAUGCCUCCCGUGGCGCCGCUGCCGGUCCACCUCGUCUCCGGUGGCCCUAGGGCCAUGGGGACACGGUGGAUCUCAUCCCUUACCAGCGGGAGGGCUUCGUUUUUAAAUAUUUCUUUGAAUUUUGUUAGGGUUGUGUCCUGCUAAAGAGGAUAAGACAACGACGGCUUCGUGAAGAUUGAAUAAGGUUCUUCCCGCCUAGCCCCCGUCUCGAUGGCGCAUCUAACAUCGUCGGAGAGUGUGUGGAGGUGUGUCUCCGGCGGAUCUCACAGGAUUCGGUAGGUGGUUUGUCUUUGGUGGAUCUACUCGGACCCGGUCUUCGUUCGUCUACAUUUGUCUGUCAUUAGAUUGGAUCCUUCCGAUCUAUGGGUCUCAUCAUCGGCGGGGGUUACUAUUCUAUUGCGCUGGUCCUACGAGGCCUUAGCACGACAAGUUCCCGGCUGUCUACUACAAUAAGUUCUGCCCGGCUCCGGCGAGGGAAGGGCGAUGACAACGGCGCGUCUUCGGCUCGCUUUAAUGCUUGUAGUCUUUGCUAGAUGGUCUACGGAUGGAUGCGAUUUUUAUUAUUCCUAUUGUUCAUUGUAUUGUCAUGAUUGAAAAUAAAAAGAUCGAAAGAUUUCUCACAGAUAAGAAGCUCAGAAGAACCAUUAAAAGGACAAUCGUGUGGUCUCCCUAGAUGGUCCUUGGAGGGAGCGAUGUAAUUUCAUUUCCUUUUUAUUGCAUUCUCAUGAAUCUACGGGAUACACAGAUUUGGAAUAGCCAUGCGUUAUAUAGGUUUGGAAAAGAUGAAUGGGCAGGACAAAGCCCAUCAAGGUCCAGAGUUGAACAUGGUAUUUUUCUCUUCCCUGAUCUUGUGUGGUUGUUACAUUACAACGAGGACUAGAUGCAUUCAUUAACCUGAGGAGACUAUAUACGGUGAUUAUAUCGUGGUUAUCAUAUUUACCUAUUUUACAAAGAAUGAUCGGAUAUAAUUUACUGGUACAAUCCAUUGUGUGCCUUUCACGCUUCCGUCAGUUUAGUUUCCUCACACUUUAAGUAGUCUUGUGAAGUUGUGAUCAGGUAGCUCGCAAUCCAAAUUUCUGUAAUGAAUAUUUUUUUUUGGUCCAACGAGUAAAACGUAGACUUGGUGACCCUCAAAAGGGAUGAUAUUUUACAUAACGAGUAAAUCAUGAUGUCCUUAGAUAUUUCUUAUGAGUAUUUCUUCUUUUCUGCGGAAAAGUUUCUUGUCUUCCGAACUCUUGGAUGUGGGCAGAACUCUUGAUGAGCCGAGGCACCCGCAGCAUGCCAUUGUGAGUCAAGUUUGCCAUUGUUUGAUGGGAAGUUUUCAAGUGCUACAUGUAGAAGGACGCUAUAGUGGCUGCAAUCUUGCUGCUAAGUGACACGUACUGUCACCCUGUUUCUAAUGAAAAAAACUGAAGAACAAUGACUCAUUUAAACAUUGUUCAAUUUUGUGGUUCAUGAUGUUGGAAAUAUGCCCUAGAGGCAAUAAUAAAAGUAUUAUUAUAUUUCAAUGUUCAUGAUAAAUGUCUUUUAUUCAUGCUAUAACUGUAUUAUCCGGAAAUCGUAAUACACGUGUGAAUACUUAGACCACAAUAUGUCCCUGGUGAGCCUCUAGUUGACUAGCUCGUUGUGAUCAACAGAUAGUCAUGGUUUCUUGACUAUGGACAUUGGAUGUCGUUGAUAACGGGAUCACAUCAUUAGGAGAAUGAUGUGAUGGACAAGACCCAAUCCUAAGCAUAGCAUAAAAGAUCGUGUAGUUCGUUUUGCUAGAGCUUUGCCAAUGUCAAGUAUCUCUUCCUUCGACCAUGAGAUCGUGUAACUCCCGGAUACCGUAAGAGUGCCUUGGGUGUAUCAAACGUCACAACGUAACUGGGUGACUAUAAAGGUGCAUUACAGGUAUCUCCGAAAGUAUCUGUUGGGUUGACACGGAUCGAGACUGGGAUUUGUCACUCCGUAUGACGGAGAGGUAUCUCUGGGCCCACUCGGUAAUGCAUCAUCAUAAUGAGCUCAAUGUGACCAAGGUGUUGGACACGGGAUCAUGCAUUACGGUACGAGUAAAGUGACUUGCCGGUAACGAGACUGAACAAGGUAUUGGGAUACCGACGAUCGAGUCUCGGGCAAGUAACGUACUGAUUGACAAAGGGAAUUGUAUACAGGGUUUGAUUGAAUCCUUGACAUCGUGGUUCAUCCGAUGACAACAUCGAGGAGCAUGUGGGAGCCAUCAUGGGUAUCCAGAUCCCGCUGUUGGUUAUUGACCUGAGAGCAUCUCGGUCAUGUCUGCAUGUCUCCCGAACCCGUAGGGUCUACACACUUAAGGUUCGGUGACGCUAGGGUUAUUAGGAAGACUAGUAUGUGACUACCGAAUAUUGUUCGGAGUUCCGGAUGGGAUCCUGGACGUCACGAGGAGCUCCGGAAGGGUCCGAAGGUAAAGAUUUAUAUAUGGGAAGUUGUCAAACGGGCACCGGGAAGUUUCGGGGUCAUACCGGUAUUGUACCGGGGCCACCGGAAGGGUUCCGGGGGUCCACCGGGAGGGGCCACCCCUCCCGGGGGGGCACAUGGGCUGCGUGGGGCAGGGAGCCAGCCCCUGGUGGGCUGGGCGCACCCCCUCCCUUGGGCCCUUGCGCCUAGGGUUGAGGGGGGAACCCUAGAGGGGGCGCCCCCUUGGCUUGGGGGGCAAGCCACCCUCUCCCCCUCUCCCCUUGGCCGCCGCACCCCCCUAGAUGGGUUCUAGGGGGCCGGCCCCCUUCUCCCUUCCCCCAACAAAUAGAGGGGUGAGGGGAGGGCAGCCGCACCACCCUCCAAGGCGCAGCCCUCCCCUCCCCAACACCUCUCCUCCUCUGUUGUGUGCUUGGCGAAGCCCUGUCGGAGUACUGCCUCUCCACCAUCACCACGCCGUCGUGCUGCCGGUGGAGCUGUCUUCCUCAACCUCUCCUCCCCCCUUGCUGGAUCAAGAAGGAGGAGACGUCUCCCGUCCCGUACGUGUGUUGAACGCGGAGGUGCUGUCCGUUCAGCACUUGGUCAUCGGUGAUUCGAAUCACGUCGAGUACGAUUCCAUCAUCACCUUGCAAGCUUCCGCACGCGAUCUACAAGUGGUAUGUAGAUGCAAACUCACUCCCUUGACUCGUUGCUUAGAUGAACUCAUAGAUGGAUCUUGGUGAAACCGUAGGAAAAAUUUUAAUUUUCUGCAACGUUCCCCAACAGUGGCAUCAUGAGCCAGGUUUAUGCGUAGUUCUCUUUGCACGAGUAGAACACAAUUUUGUUGUGGGCGUGGAUUUUGUCAUCUUACUUGCCUCUACUAGUCUUUUCUUGCUCAACGGUAUUGUGGGAUGAAGCGGCCCGGACCAACCUUACACGUACGCUUACGUGAGACCGGUUCCACCGAGUGACAUGCACUAGUUGCAUAAGGUGGCUGGCGGGUGUCUGUCUCUCCCACUUUAGUUGGAGCGGAAUCGAUGAACAGGGCCCUUAUGAAGGGUAAAUAGAAGUUGACAAAAUCACGUUGUGGUGAUUCGUAGGUAAGAAAAUGUUCUUGCUAGAACCCAAUUGCAGCCACGUAAAAGAUGCAACAACAAUUAGAGGAUGUCUAACUUGUUUUUGCAGCGAUUGAUCAUGUGAUGUGAUAUGGCCAGAAGUUGUGAUGAAUGAUGAAUUGUGAUGUAUGAGAUCAUGUUCUUUGUAAUAGGAUUCACGACUUGCAUGUCGAUGAGUAUGACAACCGGCAGGAGCCAUAGGAGUUGUCUUUAUUUUUUGUAUGACCUGCAUGUCAUUGAAUAACGCCAUGUAAACUACUUUACUUUAUUGCUAAACGUUAGUCAUAGAAGUAGAAGUAGUCGUUGGCGUGACAACUUCAUGAAGACACGAUGAUGGAGAUCAUGAUGAUGGAGAUCAUGGUGUCAAGCCGGUGACAAGAUGAUCAUGGAGCCCCGAAGAUGAAGAUCAAUGGAGCUAUAUGAUAUUGGCCAUAUCAUGUCACAACUAUAUAAUUGCAUGUGAUGUUUAUUAUGUAUUAUGCAUCUUGUUUACUUAGGACGACGGUAGUAAAUAAGAUGAUCCCUUAUAAAAUUUCAAGAAGUGUUCUCCCCUAACUGUGCACCGUUGCUACAGUUCGUCGCUUCUAAGCAACACGUGAUGAUCGGGUGUGAUGGAUUCUUACGUUCACAUACAACGGGUGUAAGACAGUUUUACACAGCGAAAACACUUAGGGUUAACUUGACGAGCCUAGCAUGUGCAGACAUGGCCUCGGAACACGGAGACCGAAAGGUCGAACACGAAUCGUAUGGAAGAUACGAUCAACAUGAGAAUGUUCACCGACGAUGACUAGUCCGUCUCACGUGAUGAUCGGACACGGGCUAGUCGACUCGGAUCGUGUAACACUUAGAUGACUAGAGGGAUGUCUAAUCUAAGUGGGAGUUCAUAAUUUGAUUAGAACUUUAUUAUCAUGAACUUAGUCUAAAACCUUUGCAAAUAUGUCUUGUAGAUCAAUGGCCAACGCUAAUGUCAACAUGAACUUCAACGCGUUCCUAGAGAAAACCAAGCUGAAAGAUGAUGGCAGCAACUAUACGGACUGGGUCCGGAACCUGAGGAUCAUCCUCAUAGCUGCCAGGAAACAAUAUGUCCUAGAAGGACCGCUAGGUGACGCUCCCGUCGCAGAGAACCAAGACAUUAUGAAUGCUUGGCAGUCUCGUGCUGAUGAUUACUCCCUCGUUCAGUGCGGCAUGCUUUACAGCUUAGAACCGGGGCUCCAAAAGCGUUUUGAGCAUCACGGAGCAUAUGAGAUGUUCGAAGAGCUGAAACUAGUUUUCCAAGCUCAUGCCCGGGUCGAGAGAUAUGAUGUCUCCGACAAGUUCUACAGUUGUAAGAUGGAGGAAAAUAGUUCUGUCAGUGAGCACAUCCUGAAGAUGUCUGGGUUGCACAACCGUAUGACCCAGCUGAACAUUAACCUCCCAGAUGAGGCGGUCAUUGACAGAAUCCUCCAGUCGCUCCCACCAAGCUACAAGAGCUUUGUGAUGAACUACAACAUGCAGGGGAUGGAAAAGACCAUUCCUGAAGUGUUCUCGAUGCUGAAGUCAGCAGAGGCUGAAAUCAAGAAAGAACAUCAAGUGUUGAUGGUCAAUAAGACCACUAAGUUCAAGAAGGGCAAGGGUAAGAAGAACUUCAAGAAGGACGGCAAGGAGGUUGCCGCGCCUGGUAAGCCAGUUACCGGGAAGAAGUCAAAGAAUGGACCUAAGCCUGAGACUGAGUGUUUUUAUUGCAAGGGGAAGGGUCACUGGAAGCGGAACUGCCCCAAAUACUUAGCGGAUAAGAAGGCCGGCAACACCAAAGGUAUAUUUGAUAUACAUGUGAUUGAUGUGUACCUUACUAGUACUCGUAGUAACUCCUGGGUAUUUGAUACCAGUGCCGUUGCUCAUAUUUGUAACUCACAGCAGGAGCUGCGGAAUAAACGGAGACUGGCGAAGGACGAGGUGACGAUGCGCGUCGGGAAUGGUUCCAGAGUCGAUGUGAUCGCCGUCGGCACGCUGCCUCUACAUUUACCUACGGGAUUAGUUUUGAACCUGAAUAAUUGUUAUUUAGUGCCAAGUUUGAGCAUGAACAUUGUAUCUGGAUCUCGUUUAAUACGAGAUGGCUACUCAUUUAAGUCUGAGAAUAAUGGUUGUUCGAUUUAUAUGAGAGAUAUGUUUUAUGGUCAUGCUCCGAUGGUCAAUGGUUUAUUCUUAAUGAAUCUCGAGCGUAAUAUUACACAUGUUCAUAGUGUAGAUGCCAAAAGAUUUAAAGUUGAUAACGAUAGUCCCACAUACUUGUGGCACUGCCGCCUUAGUCACAUUGGUGUCAAGCGCAUGAAGAAGCUCCAUGCCGAUGGACUUUUAGAGUCUCUUGAUUAUGAAUCGUUUGACACGUGCGAACCAUGCCUCUUGGGCAAAAUGACCAAGACUCCGUUCUCCGGAACAAUGGAGCGAGCAACCAACUUGUUGGAAAUCAUACAUACCGAUGUGUGCGGUCCAAUGAGCGUUGAGGCUCGCGGAGGAUAUCGUUAUGUUCUCACUCUCACUGAUGACUUGAGUAGAUAUGGGUAUGUCUACUUAAUGAAACACAAGUCUGAGACCUUUGAAAAGUUCAAAGAAUUUCAGAAUGAGGUAGAGAAUCAACGUGACCGAAAGAUAAAAUUCUUACGAUCAGAUCGUGGAGGAGAAUACUUAAGUCACGAAUUUGGUACACACUUAAGGAAAUGUGGAAUCGUUUCACAACUCACGCCGCCUGGAACACCUCAGCGAAACGGUGUGUCCGAACGUCGUAAUCGCACUCUAUUGGAUAUGGUGCGGUCUAUGAUGUCUCUUACCGAUUUACCGCUAUCAUUUUGGGGAUACGCUCUAGAGACAGCUACAUUCACUUUAAAUAGGGCACCGUCUAAAUCCGUUGAGACGACACCGUAUGAAUUAUGGUUUGGAAAGAAACCUAAGAUGUCGUUUCUAAAAUUUUGGGGAUGCGAUGCUUAUGUCAAGAAACUUCAACCUGAAAAGCUCGAACCCAAGUCGGAAAAAUGCGUAUUCAUAGGAUACCCUAAGGAAACUGUCGGGUAUACCUUCUACUUAAGAUCCGAAGGCAAGAUCUUUGUUGCCAAGAACGGAUGCUUUCUGGAAAAAGAGUUUCUCUCGAAAGAAGUAAGUGGGAGGAAAGUAGAACUCGAUGAAGUACUACCUCUUGAGCGGGAAAGUGGCGCAGCGCAGGAAACCGUUUCUGUGAUGCCCACACCAACUGAAGAGGAAAACAAUGAUGAUGAUCAAGGUACUUCGGAUCAAGUUACUAUUGAACUUCGUAGGUCCACAAGGACACGUUCCGCACCAGAGUGGUACGGCAACCCUGUCCUGGAAAUCAUGUUGUUGGACAACAAUGAACCUUCGAACUAUGAAGAAGCGAUGGCGGGCCCGGAUUCCAACAAAUGGCUUGAAGCCAUGAAAUCCGAGAUAGAAUCCAUGUAUGAAAACAAAGUAUGGACUUUGACAGACUUGCCCGAUGAUCGGCGAGCGAUAGAAAACAAAUGGAUUUUUAAGAAGAAGACGGACGCGGAUGGUAAUGUUACAAUCUAUAAGGCUCGACUUGUCGCUAAGGGUUAUCGACAAGUUCAAGGGAUUGACUACGACGAGACUUUCUCUCCUGUAGCGAAGCUGAAGUCCGUUCGAAUCAUGCUAGCAAUUGCCGCAUACUAUGAUUAUGAGAUAUGGCAGAUGGACGUCAAAACAGCAUUCCUUAACGGGCAUCUUAAGGAAGAACUGUAUAUGAUGCAGCCGGAAGGUUUUGUCGAUCCUCGGAACGCUAACAAAGUAUGCAAGCUCCAGCGAUCCAUUUAUGGACUGGUGCAAGCAUCUCGGAGUUGGAACAUUCGCUUUGAUGAGAUGAUCAAAGCGUUUGGGUUUAUGCAGACUUAUGGAGAAGCCUGCGUUUACAAGAAAGUGAGUGGGAGCUCUGUAGCAUUUCUCAUAUUAUAUGUAGAUGACAUACUCUUGAUGGGAAACAAUAUAGAAUUUCUGGACAGCAUUAAGGCCUACUUGAAUAAGUGUUUUUCAAUGAAGGACCUUGGAGAAGCUGCUUAUAUAUUAGGCAUCAAGAUCUAUAGAGAUAGAUCGAGACGCCUCAUAGGUCUUUCACAAAGCACAUACCUUGAUAAGAUUUUGAAGAGGUUCAAAAUGGAUCAGUCCAAGAAGGGGUUCUUGCCUAUGUUACAAGGUGUGAGAUUGAGCUCGGCUCAGUCACCGACCACGGCAAAAGAUAAAGAAGAGAUGAGUGUCAUCCCCUAUGCUUCAGCCAUAGGAUCUAUUAUGUAUGCCAUGCUGUGUACCAGACCCGAUGUAAACCUUGCCGUAAGUUUGGUAGCAAGAUACCAAAGUAAUCCCGGCAAGGAACACUGGACAGCGGUCAAGAAUAUCCUGAAGUACCUGAAAAGGACGAAGGACAUGUUUCUCGUUUAUGGAGGAGACGAAGAGCUCGUCGUAAAGGGUUACGUCGACGCUAGCUUCGACUCAGAUCUGGAUGACUCUAAGUCACAAACCGGAUACGUGUAUAUGUUGAAUGGUGGAGCAGUAAGCUGGUGCAGCUGCAAGCUGAGCGUCGUGGCGGGAUCUACGUGUGAAGCGGAGUACAUGGCAGCCUCGGAGGCAGCGCAUGAAGCGAUUUGGGUGAAGGAGUUCAUCACCGACCUAGGAGUCAUACCCAAUGCGUCGGGGCCGAUCAAACUCUUCUGUGACAACACUGGAGCUAUUGCCCUCGCCAAGGAGCCCAGGUUUCACAAGAAGACCAGGCACAUCAAGCGUCGUUUCAACUCCAUCCGUGAAAAUGUUCAAGAUGGAGACAUAGAGAUUUGCAAAGUGCACACGGAUCUGAAUGUCGCAGAUCCGCUGACUAAACCUCUCUCGCGUGCAAAACAUGAUCAACACCAGAACUCUAUGGGUGUUCGAUUCAUCACAAUGUAACUAGAUUGGUGACUCUAGUGCAAGUGGGAGACUGUUGGAAAUAUGCCCUAGAGGCAAUAAUAAAAGUAUUAUUAUAUUUCAAUGUUCAUGAUAAAUGUCUUUUAUUCAUGCUAUAACUGUAUUAUCCGGAAAUCGUAAUACACGUGUGAAUACUUAGACCACAAUAUGUCCCUGGUGAGCCUCUAGUUGACUAGCUCGUUGUGAUCAACAGAUAGUCAUGGUUUCCUGACUAUGGACAUUGGAUGUCGUUGAUAACGGGAUCACAUCAUUAGGAGAAUGAUGUGAUGGACAAGACCCAAUCCUAAGCAUAGCAUAAAAGAUCGUGUAGUUCGUUUUGCUAGAGCUUUGCCAAUGUCAAGUAUCUCUUCCUUCGACCAUGAGAUCGUGUAACUCCCGGAUACCGUAAGAGUGCCUUGGGUGUAUCAAACGUCACAACAUAACUGGGUGACUAUAAAGGUGCUUACAGGUAUCUUCGAAAGUAUCUGUUGGGUUGACACGGAUCGAGACUGGGAUUUGUCACUCCGUAUGACGGAGAGGUAUCUCUGGGCCCACUCGGUAAUGCAUCAUCAUAAUGAGCUCAAUGUGACCAAGGUGUUGGACACGGGAUCAUGCAUUACGGUACGAGUAAAGUGACUUGCCGGUAAUGAGACUGAACAAGGUAUUGGGAUACCGACGAUCGAGUCUCGGGCAAGUAACGUACCGAUUGACAAAGGGAAUUGUAUACAGGGUUUGAUCGAAUCCUUGACAUCGUGGUUCAUCCGAUGACAACAUCGAGGAGCAUGUGGGAGCCAUCAUGGGUAUCCAGAUCCCGCUGUUGGUUAUUGACCUGAGAGCGUCUCGGUCAUGUCUGCAUGUCUCCCGAACCCGUAGGGUCUACACACUUAAGGUUCGGUGACGCUAGGGUUAUUAGGAAGACUAGUAUGUGACUACCGAAUGUUGUUCGGAGUCCCGGAUGGGAUCCUGGACGUCACGAGGAGCUCCGGAAGGGUCCGGAGGUAAAGAUUUAUAUAUGGGAAGUUGUCAAACGGGCACCGGGAAGUUUCGGGGUCAUACCGGUAUUGUACCUGGGCCACCGGAAGGGUUCCGGGGGUCCACCGGGAGGGGCCACCCCUCCCGGGGGGGCCACAUGGGCUGCGUGGGGCAGGGAGCCAGCCCCUGGUGGGUUGGGCGCACCCCCUCCUUUGGGCCCUUGCGCCUAGGGUUGAGGGGGGAACCCUAGAGGGGGCGCCCCCUUGGCUUGGGGGGCAAGCCACCCUCUCCCCCUCUCCCCUUGGCCGCCGCACCCCCCUAGAUGGGUUCUAGGGGGCCGGCCCCCUUCUCCCUUCCCCCAAUAAAUAGAGGGGUGAGGGGAGGGCAGCCGCACCACCCUCCAAGGCGCAGCCCUCCCCUCCCCAACACCUCUCCUCCUCCGUUGUGUGCUUGGCGAAGCCCUGUCGGAGUACUGCCUCUCCACCAUCACCACGCCGUCGUGCUGCCGGUGGAGCUGUCUUCCUCAACCUCUCCUUCCCCCUUGCUGGAUCAAGAAGGAGGAGACGUCUCCCGUCCCGUACGUGUGUUGAACGCGGAGGUGCUGUCCGUUCAGCACUUGGUCAUCGGUGAUUCGAAUCACGUCGAGUACGACUCCAUCAUCACCUUGCAAGCUUCCGCACGCGAUCUACAAGUGGUAUGUAGAUGCAAACUCACUCCCUUGACUCGUUGCUUAGAUGAACUCAUAGAUGGAUCUUGGUGAAACCGUAGGAAAAAUUUUAAUUUUCUGCAACGUUCCCCAACACAUGAGCCUUUUCUUCAAAGUUUACUUAAAAGUUGGGUUAUUAGGUAAAAAAUGGUUCCUUUCCUUUUGUGCUUGCAAUUUAUUGUCCUGACAAAAACACUUUUUAUUGCAGUGCUAAGAAAAUGCGUCUACUACUUGACUGAGCUAAAUACUCUUGAUAGCAAACCCUCUCUGGGCAUAUUCGUAGAUUCAAGGUGAGGAGACAUGCCAGCAUACAGACCAGCCUUAAAAAUAGUCAGAUAAACAUUGCAAGAUGUACAUACAUGGCACAUGUACGAUGUUCUAACAAGAGCAUAAAGUUGAUUGAUUCUUGAUAGCAUCACCUGAAUAUAUCACUCACGGAUUCAUGAAUGUUCCCCGUUGCAAUGCACGGCCAUUCACCUAGUAAAGGCAAUGAUUUGUUGGUAGUAGAGGCAUCUCAUGUUUCAAAGGGUUAAACCUUACCGUCGUGACCCGGCUCCAUGGCUGGGUCAAUCUUGCACCUCUGUUGGUGCCGAACCCUAGGCAAAUUCCCCCAAAUCUCUUGUUGUUUCUAUUGAUUGACCGAAUGUGAGGAGCGAUAGUAGAUCAAUAACUCUCGUAUAACCGAGGGAAAAAGAAAUGAAGAGAAGUUGGCGAAAGUAUCAAGUGGUACAUCUACUUUUUAUAAUAUCACAUGAAGCCGGCAAAAAGGAAAGCCGACCAACGAAGAAACUGCAUAGGGGACCUAUCAUGAGUGAACAUUGCGUGGGCGCCACUGGCCGCAUCUCAUCAUAUUGUUGUGUAGAAGAAGAAAUGACCGCCGAUGCUGCUGGUGCCUCCAUCUCUACGACCUUGCCGUCCAAGCCCGCAAUAGCAACAAACACGUAGCACUAGAGCACGGGAGGAGAGGUGAUCAGGGAAAUUCGUCUUUCUUGAUGGCAGGAUAAUUAGUGAUGGGCGACUCCACGCGACGCUGAUGUGAUUUCAGGCCACACUAAAGGAUGUCGGAGAAGGGGGCCGUAGGACGAACUCAACAACAUCGGUAGUGGGCUUGGUGGAUAUUGUGUCGAGGGCUCGGGGACGCACUCGGUGAAGGUGGUGGACCUCGGGGAGGGGGCCCUCAUACACGUGGAUGCAGGGGAAAAGAGGGUGCACGGGCUUGGAGGCAUUACUCAUCCACCUCUUCUGGCAAAGAGAGCUCAUCGGGGCCAACCGCGUGAAGGAGGAGCUUGAGGUAGCUUGGAGGAGGCGACGACGGCAGCCAGAUCCAUGUGGCAAGCCAGAGUGGAGGCAUCCCACAUGGGAGCAGUGAUUUCAGAGCCUAAGCUUAGAUGCACCUGCUAUUAUGUUUGUUCAUUGCUGCAUGGAGAUUCGGGAAAUGGGGCAUGAGGUUGCAUUGCUAGGGCGUGGAAAAUCCCCAAAACGAACUAUACAUGCAUGAAUAGUGCGAUACAUGUGGGUCUAUCAUGUAGCACACGAGGAGGGUUCGAACGAAGGACAAGCAGUGCCAUCUUGGUUGGAUUCUGAUCCAUGGCACCUAAUCGUCUGCAUUCAUCUAAGUCGUGGCUCACUUUGCUAGCCCGUGGUGUGACUUUGAAACUUUGAAUCCGAGUCAUGGCCUAAAGAUUUGUAUAGCUCCAGUUGGGGCCUGCGGUGUAGGAUCGUCAGUACGCACACCGAAUGUCAUCCACGACCGACAUCGGCCAACAGAUUGCUAGCUUACCAGACGCUACAAGAGGUAGCGUCCUUCGUGAAGUUUGUGUGCUUCAUCACCAACCAGGUCAUCCUAAGCCAUAAUGGACAACCCAUUCAUCUACGUAGUUGACUUCAACACUGGAGACGACUUCUCAUGGUCGUUGAUCAUGUCACACCUUGCUCACCAUGGCAACAAGCUGUUUCAUGUCACGUCACUUGCCACCACAUUAAUGCACCGCACGGAUACGCAUGCACCAACAGUCGUGCAUGGUGUCCGUCGGAGUUCGCGCGCGUCCCUAGGGUCUCCCAUUCCAGUACGAUGAGAAGGACCUCCUGGUCUGGGCUGGAAGUCACGUAAUGGUACCUACAACAAUCUCGAAAAGAGUAGAAGGCCUGGAUUUCAAGAGCAUCUGAGCUCGCACUUAGAAAUCUAUUUUUGUUCCCACGGUCCAUACAUAGAGAGAAACUAGAAAAGAAAACGCAAAACACGCAUACAUGCAUGCAUGCUUCCACAAAUGGGUUACCACAUACCUUUCUAGGAUUCUGGUGACCUCACAUUCAUUGUUGACCCCUUAUGACCUCACAUUCAUGGGAGAGAUUUCCUGAUCUCACAUUGUCUCUAUAAAAGUCUAUCACCUCUACGAAUCAUGUGUCUCCACCAUUUCAAAUCCUCCGCGCGCCUAACAUACCACUUGAGAAAUUACUAAUGGCCAACAGAAAGAAUGUCAUGGCCAUGUUAUUUCUCACCACCAUUGUGGCGGUGGCGGCCACAAGGCCAGCCGAGACCUAUGGCGUUGCGGAGGAGAACACAUUGAAGAUGGCUACCCCCAGCAGGAAAGGGGUUGACGCUACCUUAGCAACUACACGUGUUGUUGCCGCCGAGAAGUCCAUCAAGAAGGCUGAAAGCGUCACCACACCAGAAGAGGCCGCGGCUGCCAAGCAAGAUGGAGCAAAAUCUGCUUCUGCUGCAUUAAAGUACAAUGCCAUCUCUCAGCAGGCAAAUGGUAAAGGUUCUUCUACCUCCCUAGGCAGGAAAGAAGCAGCCAAUACUUUAGCCGCCGCACACUAUGCCGCCACCGAGAAGUCCAUCAAGAAGGCCGAAACCACCAAGACACCUGCAAAGGUCGUGGCUGCCAAGCGAGACGCAGCAAAGUCUGUUGAUGAUGCAUUAAAGUAUGGUGCCAUCUCUCGGAAAGCAGCUGGUACAAGUUCUUCUACCUCCCCCAAUAAGAAAGAAGGCACCACUGAUGCUGCUAAGAUGUUCACCAAGAAGGCUGAAACCGCUACCACACCUGAAGAGGCCGCGGCUGCCAAGCAAGCUGCAGCCAAGUCUACCGCUGCUGCAUCAAAGUAUGGUGUCAUUUCUCAGCAAGUAGCUGGUACAAGUUCUUCUACCUCCCCUAGCAGGAAAGAAGCUGCCGGUACCUUGGCAGAUGCUCGCAUAGCUGCUGCCGAGAAGUCCAUCAAGAAGGCUGAAACCGCCACAAGACCUGAAGAGGCAGCAUCCGCUAAGAAGGAUGCCACAAAAUCCGAGGCUGAUGCAAUGAAGUACGGGGCCAUCUCUCAGCAGGCCGCCGGCAAAAAUGGUGCCUAAGUGGUGCCUUAAACACCUAUUCACACGCAACAUCAUCUACAUACUACCAUGCAUGCAAAAUAGCAGCAUUCAGAUACCACAUUAUGCUAAUUCUCAUGCAUGCACACUUUGUUUAAACGUUCCCAUUACGAAUCAUGUAUUAAUGUCUUGCUUGUUUUAUUUUUAGUAGUAAGACAUGCUUGACUUGCUUUAAAAAAAAUACAACAAUCGAUGUAUACAUGUAUUAUCUAAAAAUCAGUAAUAUGAGUUCCACCGCAAUUUGUUUCUUUUUGUCAUAAUUUGGGUGCAAUCAAUGCACACAUCCAAUACACAAAAUUGGACGACUCAAUGUGUUGUGGCUCCAUGGAGCGGCGAAUCAUGUUUUAUUGUCUUGCUUGUUUUACUUUUAGUAGUAAUGUCUUGCUGGUCAAUGUAUUAUGGCUCCAUGGAGCGGCAUAAUGAUAUAUGAUAUAUCUUCACUACUUCAAAAAGAACUUAAGGUUUCGUCAUACAUCUUUCCUUCAUCCAUCCUCCCUACGAAUCCUUCCUGUUUUGAUUUUUUUCUCCCAUCUUUGAUUUUUCUCCCCAUUGAUUCUACCUAAAAACCACCUCAAUGUCACAUGUUUACUGUAUAUGUCAAGGCCUCCUUUGGUUCAUAGGGUAGAAAAAAACAUAGGAAUAGGAAAGUCAUAGGAAAUGAGAUGACAUGUAUCUCAAAUCCUAUGAUUGGGAAUAGGAAAGGAGAUGCCCUUUGAUUCACAUCAUAGGAUUUUUUCAUUGAAUCUAGGCUAAUGUUUAUUUUCCUAUGAAAUGUGAAGGAGAGGAAGAAUUCCUCCAUAGGAUUAGGAUUCCAUUCCUACAAACCAAAGGACUCUAAAGGAAUUUUUUCUAUAGAAAUCCUAUCCUAUGAAAUUCUUACAAGAUUCCUCCAAAUCAAAGGAGGCCCAAGUGGUUGUGAUGAGACAGUGGCUGGGCACUUCAGAUUUAUUCCCGUAACUGACUGUCAAAUUGAGUCAUCUGUCGUCCUUUCGAUGAUUGUAAGAAAGUUAUAUGUUUACUGUAUGUGCCAAUUGGUUGUGAUUAUCGUUACCGGCCACAAAGUUAUAUUUUCUUGUCUUAACGAAGGGUUGCAUACAAUGCGUGUAGCUCUUGACGCCUGAUAACCCACAAGUAUAGGGGAUCGCAACAGUUUUUGAGGGUAGAGUAUUCAACACAAAUUUAUAGAUUCGACACAAGGGGAGCCAAAGAAUAUUUGUAAGUAUUAACAGCUGAGUUAUCAAUUCAACCACACCUGGAGAUUAAUUAUCUGCAGCAAAGUGAUCAGUAGCAUAGUAGUAUGAUAGUUUUGAUAGUAGUAGCAACAUCAACAGUAACGGUAAUAGUGGUAGCAAUGGUUUUGUAGCAGUGACAAUAGUAACAGCAGCAGUAGUAACUUAGCAAGAACAAUAUGUACGAAAAUCGUACGCAUUGGAUCGGUGAUUUGUUGGAUGAUAUUCAUCAUGUGACAGUUACAACCUAGGACGAUACGGCACUAGCUCCAGUUCAUAAAUAUAAUGUAGGCAUGUAUUCUAUAAAUAAUCAUACGUGCUUAUGGAAAGAACUUGUAUGACAUCUUUUGUCCUACCCUCCUGUGGCAGCGGUGUCCUAUUGGAAACUAAGGGAUAUUAAGGCCUCCUUUUAAUAGAGAACCAGAACAAAGCAUUAACACACGGUGAAUACAUGAACUCCUCAAACUACGGUCAUCACAGGGAAGUGUCCCGACUAUUGUCACUCCGGGGUUGCCGGAUCAUAACACGUAGUAGGUAACUAUAACUUGCAAGAUUGGAUCUAGAACAUAGAUAUAAUGGUGAUAACAUAAGUCAUAGCAACAUCAAUCUCAGAACAUAAUGGAUACUCGGGAUGAAGCCCUAACAAAACUAACUCAAUUACAUGAUGAAUCUCAUCCAACUCCUCACCGACCAGCGAGCCUACGAAGGAAUUACUCACUCCUGGUGGGGAGCAUCAUGGAAUUGGCGAUGGAGAAGGGUUGGUGAUGACGAAGAUCGAAGACCCCCCUCUCUGGAGCCCCAAACGGACUCCAAAUCUAGCCUCCCGAUGAAGAACAGGAGAUGACGGCGGCUCUGUCUCGUGGAUCGUGAUAAUUCUUUCUUCCUGAUUUUUUCUGGAAAAAUAGGAUUUUAUAGCGUCGGAUUCAGGGCCUGCGGGGCCACCAGGUGGGGACAACCCACCUGGGUGUGCUUGGAGGGGGGGGGCCUGGUGGGUUGUGCCCAUCCAGGUGCCCCCCUCCGGUUGUUCUUGGCUCCAGAAAUUCUCUGUAUUUGUAUAAAAAUUCCUCGCAAAGUUUUGUUCCAAUCCGAAAACUUUUAUUUCUGCACAAAAAAAACACCAUGGUAGUUUUGUUGGAAACAGCGUCAGUCCGGGUUAGUUUCAUUCAAAUCAUGCAAAUUAGAGUGCAAAACAAGAGGAAAGUGUUAGGAAAAGUAGAUACGACGGAGAUGUAUCAACUCCUCCAAGCUUAAACCUUUGCUUGUCCUCAAGCAAUUCAGUUGAUAAACUGAAAGUGAAAAAAAAAUUACGAACUCUUUUGCUCUUGUUUUCAUAAAUAAGCUUAAACAUCACCCAGUGUCGAUGUCAAAACCGGCGGAUCUCGGAUAGGGGGUCCCGAACUGUGCGUCUAGGCGGAUGGUAACAGGAGACAAGGGACACGAUGUUUACCCAGGUUCGGGCCCUCUCGAUGGAGGUAAAACCCUACUCCUGCUUGAUUAAUAUUGAUGAUAUGGGCAGUACAAGAGUAGAUCUACCACGAGAUCAAGGAGGCUAAACCCUAGAAGGUAGCCUAUGGUAUGAUUGUUGUUGUCCUACAGACUAAAACUCUCUGGUUUAUAUAGACACCGGAGAGGGUUAGGGUUACACAGAGUCGGUUACAAUGGUAGGAGAUCUACAUAUCUGUAUCGCCAAGCUUGCCUUCCACGCCAAGGAAAGUCCCUUCCAGACACGGGAAGAAGUCUUCAAUCUUGUAUGUUCAUAGUCCGGGAGUCCGGCUGAAGGUAUCGUCCGGCUAUCCGGACACCCCCUAAUUCAGGACUCCCUUAGAGCCCCCGAACCAGGCUUCAAUGACGACGAGUCUGGCACGCAAAUUGUCUUCGGCAUUGCAAGGCGGGUUCUCCUUCAAUUUCUGUGUACCUGCUGAAUAAUGUCCGGUUUCUUAUAAAUGUAGCGCUCCUCGGCUUCCACGCCCAAUAAUGGCCGUCUUCCACGUGUCAAAUGAAUACGAAAAGUCUGGGUGUUUUUACAUUCACACCCCCAGCCGCGUAAAUGAGCCGCCUAUUUAAAGGGACGGGGAUUUAGAUCCAAACCACACCUUCUCCUCUCCGCGAGUUUCAUCAGAGCGCAUCCGACAAAGGACCGUUCCAUCAUGGCCAGCCGUCGCAGCUCCUCCUCUCGCCCUUCCAGCCCUCAUCCUGGAGAUUGGGAGAGAUGCUCCGUCCCGCACAGCGAGCUAGUGUCGCUUCGGACCAAAGGGAUUUCUUCCUCCGGCCUAUAUGGUCCCGGUUCGAGCCGGACUUGCCACCUAUAAUGGCGGAGAGCAAGUGGAGAGCGCCCCCAAUCCCUCCAAAGGAGAGCGGGUAUGCCUUGUCCCUUAUUUAAUAAGAGGGCUCGGAUUUCCAAUUCAUCCAUUUCUCCGGGGGCUCCUGGAGUUCUAUGGCCUCCAGCUGCACAACCUCACGCCUGUCUCCGUAUUGCAUAUUGCGGGCUUCGUAGCCCUUUGCGAGUUGUUUUUGGGUGUUGAGGCUCAUUUCGCGCUGUGGAAGAGGCUAUUCUGCCUUGUGCCCUGUUCUUAGGAGGGGUCAAUAUAUCAAGUGGGCGGAGCCAAAGUGUGGUGUAUCGCCGGGACCGGAUAUCUAUCCGGAACCCCAAAGAAGGCGUCUGAGGACUGGCCUUCAGAAUGGUUUUAUAUAGAGGACGUCCCGUUGCCGGAUCCUGUUCGGAUCGGCCUCCCUGAGUUCAACAGCGCUCCCCUAAAGAAAAACCUAAGCUGGCGCCCACGGAGCCCUCAGAGAGAAAGUGACAAGGACAUUCUUUACCUGAUGGGCCGGAUAAGAUUAUUAGCUCAUUCCGGACUAACCAUGAUCGGAGUCAUGGCUGCAUGCAUCAUGCGAGGGGUGCAACCGCUUCAGUACAGAGGCCACCCCAUGUGGGACUUCAACGGGGAGGAUGAUGCCACCCGUCACGGCCGUAAGGGGCCGGACUCGGCUACCGCUCUAGUAAAGAUCUUGUCCGCUUUGUACAAGGGAGAAGAGGAGGAAUUUCUCCGCGUCAACCCACAGGGUGGAUUUACCAUGUACAAUCCCCCAAGUUGGGUAAGUGGGCAAUUUUACUUGCACGUCUGUUUUGUAUUCCCAUCAUUAAAUAUAUAGUCUAACGACUUCAACGCAGGAACUGCGCCUGGAAGUAAAGGACAUAAAUAGCCCGCCUCCACAGCCCGAGGACCCAGAGUUGUCCCUCGAUCCGGCCUCCGAAGAGGAUCCGGACUUAUCCAUGGAGUUAAUUGAUGGGGUGUUUUAUCAAUUGAGCAAGGACAAUGCCUUGGUGGCCAUUAAGGCCGAUUACCCGGGGCUGCUCCCGGCCUCCCAGGUAACUGAGACCGAAGUCCUAGCACCUCAAAAAGGGAUCCGCCCUCGCGUGUUUUUCAGUUUCCUGACAACAACCGUGUUUUGCAGGGGAGGUUCUUGAGACGGGAGGCCGAGCCUGCGGCGACUAGCCAACGAGGGGCUACAGGGCCCCGUGGGAUGAAAAGAAGUGCAGUCCGGAUUGAGGCGCCGGCGCAGAGGUAUAGCACGCCUUCUUAUUCCCAGGUGUUAUUCCUUCAAGGCAUAUUAACACUCGUGCUCUUUUCAGGACAAAAAGACCCCGCCGGACUAUAUCUGGAGAGGCUGCCAAUCGCGCCUCCACCAGCCAGGCUCCAAAGCCUGGUCCGGAGACGGAGGCGAACACGAGGCGCGCACCGGACGCUCCUCCAACAGAGGAUGCGGACAGGCUGUCCGCCACUAAUUCCGAGGUGGAGAGUGCCAUGAACCACAGGCGUCGCCGGACAGUUCUUCGCGACGCUUGUUUCUCCCAAGAGGCAUUGGACGCCUUCAAUUCGGGAGAUGCGUACCUCCGUGCCGCUCAAAAUGGUCUAGCCAGAGCCACGGAGCAAUAUGUAAAAGACAUACAGGUGAGAAAAUUUAAUGGUUAUAUAUAUCAGUAGCCCCCGAGACUUGAAACAGUUAGAAGAACUGAUUUAAGGAUCAUUCAUAAUGCAGGUUCUUGCGGAAAAGAAUACCCAACUGUCCCAGGAGCUAGAAGAGUGCAAAGCCCAACUUGAGGCCGCACUAGCCGCGACAGGGGAGCCCAAGGAGACCCCCUCUGGUAAUAUGUGCUUCAAAAAGAGAAGUAUUUUGUGAAGUGCGGCGUUUGUGCAAAUCUGACAAAUGAAAUUGCAGAUGGCGCCGGAUUAGAUCCGGAAAAGCAACAACUCCUACGCCAGCUAAAGGCUGGUGAGAGCGUGCUGACAAAGGUGAGGUGGGAGAAGAACGAUCUCCAAUAUGCCAACACCAAGCUGGGCGUUGAACUGAAAGAUGUUUGUGCCCAGCUGUCGGACUCCGCUAAGGAGAAUCAGCGGCUUCGACGCGGCAUAUUUAGUAAGUGCUUAAACGAACUUUGAAUAAAGAGUUCGACGAGGAAGUCGACUAACGGAGUAAUGUCUGUAGGUAUGCUAACAGGUCGUCCUGCAGAGGAGAUGCCCGGUUCUAUGGGUGACCUUCUUCCCGAGCUCUUGCAACUGCACGAGCGAGUUCGGCAGGUGAUGCAGGGCGUCGCCCAGGCCUUGUGGCCAUCCAUCUCCAUGCCCGAAGGACUUGGAGAGCUUGCAGAGAAGCUGAAGGGAGCGCGGCGGCGCUUCUGAUUGUGGAAGAUAUCGGCCUGCGUCAAGGCGCUAGGGAGGCAUGGGCCAUGGUGAAGACGCGGUACACGAAGGCUGACCCAAACCACAUGGCCGAGGUCGGACCUGUGGGGCCCGAUGGGAAGGAGAUCCCUGUAAGCUUCGUAUACGGCUAAGUAGAAUUGGCCGCAAAGUAUUCCCAGCAGGACUGUAAGCUAGACAGCCUGUUAGAUGGUAUUGAAGAGGAAUACAAUCAGUCAUAAUGACUAUGUAAUUUUAAUUGACAUGUGUAAUGCCUUCUAGCCAGAUUGUAGAUCAUUUUUCAUGGCCGACCUUUUUGCUUCGACCUCGGGACCUGCGGUCUGGAGUGUGUCCGAAUACCCUUGCGGUUAUAUAAGAACCGGGGUAUGCAUGGAGACUAGGCGUAGGGGUCAUUAGUGCUUGAACAGACAAGUGCCCGACUAGUUAUGUUAUAUUACAUGGUUAGUAAGAAACAUCUUCCAGGGAGAAUAGUUCCGUUAGGGGUUCCUUUCCCUGGGAGGCAUGCCCUAAAGUGCAUGUCCAUUCUGCGAAAAAGAGACGCAGGAAAAAACAUCUGGGGGCGCAUAGAUAAAUAAGUGAAAAAAUCAUCUUUAGUUCACCGACCGAAUAUUUCCUUAAGAACGCUAGCUUUCGGCUUCACCCAGUCUGAGGUACACAUCGGGCUGACCCGGCAGUAACAAUCGCAGAGGUGCUCCCUUUACCACCUAGCCGAACAAUCGGGAACAUAGGGGUAAGCACAGGAGCCAGGCAACCCAGCUUGGCCAAAAAUUAAGUCAUAUCGAUGCAUAUGAUGGUGAAUAAAAGGUACAUGCGGAAGUGUGACACAUGUGUUGGGCAUGAAGCCCGUAUAAGCUUCUGUUCAAAGAAGCCCCCAGGUUUAGUGAGCGUGGAUAGCGCGUCACUUGAUGAGCCUUUAAAGGCUAUAAGAGAAAGGAGGGGGAGAAGGAGAAAAUGGAAGACAGAAAAUAUAAAAAAUGGACAGAGGAAGGAGACGAACAUAGAGUCCGGCGCUAGGCAUAGAAUCUUCGGAGACGGGCUGCGUUCCAUGGGUUCGGUUCGAGUCGGUUAUCCGAUGCAUCUCGCAGGCGGUAUGCUCCACCAGUCAGGACUUGGUCAAUUAUGAAGGGACCUUCCCACUUGGGCUGGAGUUUGUCCUUUUUCUUGUCCGGCAGGCGUAGAACUAGUUCGCCAACAUUGUAAUUUUUGGCCCGUACUUCUCUGCUUUGAUAUCUUCGAGCCUGCUGUUGAUAGAAUGCGGAACGGGCUUUUGCCACGUCACGCUCCUCCUCCAAGGCAUCUAAACUGUCCUGCCGAUCGAGCUCGGCUUCUCUUUCUUCGUACAUGCGCACUCAAGGUGAGUCAUGAAUUAUAUCGCAGGGCAAAACUGCUUCUGCACCGUACACCAUGAAGAAUGGUGUGUAUCCGGUGGUGCGAUUCGACGUGGUCCGCAGCCCCCAGAGUACGGAGUCGAGCUCCUCUACCCAGUGCGUGUUAGAUUCCUUAAGGUACCGCACUAAUCUGGGUUUGAUGCCGCUCAUGAUAAGACCAUUUGCGUGUUCGACCUGUCCGUUAGUUUGUGGGUGAUAGACGGAAGCAUAAUCGAGCUUGAUGCCCAUGUUUUUGCACCAGAGUUUUACCUCAUCGACCGUAAAGUUCGUACCGUUAUCAGUGAUGAUGCUGUGGGGGACGCCGUAACGGUGUACGACCCCCGAUAUAAAGUCUAUCACCGGUCCGGAUUCGGCCGUCUUAAUAGGCUUGGCCUCUAUCCAUUUGGUGAACUUAUCCACCAUGACCAGUAAGUAUUUUUUCUUCUGGGUUCCGCCUUUAAGGGGUCCAACCAUGUCAAGCCCCCAGACCGCGAAGGGCCAAGUGAUGGGGAUAGUUUGGAGGGCGGUGGGUGGCAUAUGGCUUUGGUUUGGCAAAAGCUGGCAACCGACGCAUCGUUGGACUAAGUCCUGAGCGUCUGCCCGGGCCGUUGGCCAAUAAAAGCCUGUACGGAAAGUCUUGCUUACGAGGGACCGAGUUGCGGUGUGAUGACCAUCGAGUCCGGCAUGAAUUUCAGCCAGCAAGUUCCGCCCAUCCUCCUCGGAGAUGCACCUUUGAAGGACUCCGGUAGUGCUUUUCUUAUAAAGCUCUCCCUCAUGGACUUUAUAGGCUUUAGAUCGCCGCACUAUGCAGCGUGCCUCAUUUUGGUCUUCUGGGAGUUCCUGCCUAGUAAGGUAGGCUAGGAAUGGUUCUGUCCACGGGGCGAUGACCGCCAUUAUUACGUGGGCUGAAGAUGUGACUUCAUUGGCAGAAUCUCCAAUUAUGUCAGUGUUGGGUAACGUAGCAGAAAUUCAAAAUUUUCCUACGUGUCACCAAGAUCUAUCUAUGGAGAAACCAGCAACGAGGGGAAGGAGAGUGCAUCUACAUACCCUUGUAGAUCGCUAAGCGGAAGCGUUCAAGAGAACGGGGUUGAAGGAGUCGUACUCGUCGUGAUCCAAAUCACCGAUGAUCCUAGUGCCGAACGGACGGCACCUCCGCGUUCAACACACGUACAGCCCGGUGACGUAUCCCACGCCUUGAUCCAGCAAGGAGAGAGGGAGAGGUUGAGGAAGACUCCAUCCAGCAGCAGCACAACGGCGUGGUGGUGGUGGAGGAGCGUGGCAAUCCUGCAGGGCUUCGCCAAGCACCACGGGAGAGGAGGAAGGAGAGAUGCAGGGCUGCGUCAUAUAGAAGAGAGGAACUCGCGUCUUAUGAGCAGCCCAAACCUCAACUAUAUAUAGGGGAAGGGGAGAGGCUGCGGCCCCUUUAGGGUUUCCACCCCUAGGGGUGGCGGCCAGCCUAGAUCCCAUCUAAGGGAGGCGGCCAAGGGGGAGGGGGAGAGGGAGGCGCACCAGGAUGGGCCUUAGGGCCCAUCUGCCCUAGGGUUUGCCCCCUUCUCCUCUCCCUUGCACCUUGGGCCCUUGUGGGGGGGGGGGCGCACCAGCCCACCUGGGGCUGGUCCCCUUCCACACUUGGCCCAUGAAGCCCUCCGGGGCUGGUUUGCCCCACUUGGUGGACCCCCGGGACCCUCCCGGUGGUCCCGGUACGUCACCGAUAAACCCCGAAACUUUUCCGGUGACCAAAACAGGACUUCCCAUAUAUAAAUGUUUACCUCCGGACCAUUCCAGAACUCCUCGUGACGUCCGAGAUCUCAUCCGGGACUCCGAACAACAUUCGGUAACCACAUACAAACUUCCUUUAUAACCCCAGCGUCAUCGAACCUUAAGUGUGUAGACCCUACGGGUUUGGGAGACAUGCAGACAUGACCGAGACGUUCUCUGGUCAAUAACCAAUAGCGGGAUCUGGAUACCCAUGUUGGCUCCCACAUGUUCCACGAUGAUCUCAUCGGAUGAACCACGAUGUCAAGGACUUAAUCAAUCCCGUAUACAAUUCCCUUUGUCUAUCGGUACGAUACUCGCCCGAGAUUCGAUCGUCGGUAUCCCGAUACCUUGUUCAAUCUCAUUACCGGCAAGUCUCUUUACUCGUUCCGUAACACAUCAUCCCGUGAUCAACUCCUUGAUCACAUUGUGCACAUUAUGAUGAUGUCCUACCGAGUGGGCCCAGGGAUACCUCUCCGUCACACGGAGUGAUAAAUCCCAGUCUCGAUUCGUGCCAACCCAACAGACACUUUCAGAGAUACCCGUAGUGUACCUUUAUAGCCACCCAGUUACCUUGUGACGUUUGGCACACCCAAAGCACUCCUACGGUAACCGGGAGUUGCACAAUCUCAUGGUCUAAGGAAAUGAUACUUGACAUUAGAAAAGCUUUAGCAUACGAACUACACGAUCUAGUGCUAUGCUUAGGAUUGGGUCUUGUCCAUCACAUCAUUUUCCUAAUGAUGUGAUCCCGUUAUCAACGACAUCCAAUGUCCAUGGUCAGGAAACCGUAACCAUCUAUUGAUCAACGAGCUAGUCAACUAGAGGCUUACUAGGGACAUGGUGUUGUCUAUGUAUCCACACAUGUAUCUGAGUUUCCUAUCAAUAUAAUUCUAGCAUGGAUAAUAAACGAUUAUCAUGAACAAGGAAAUAUAAUAAUAAUCAAUUUAUUAUUUCCUCUAGGGCAUAUUUCCAACAGUCUCCCACUUGCACUAGAGUCAAUAAUCCAGUUCACAUCGUUAUGUGACUAACACUCAAGGUCACAUCCCCAUGUGACUAACACCCAAAGAGUUUACUAGAGUCAAUAAUCUAGUUCACAUUUACCAUGUGAUUAACACUCGAUGAGUUCUGGGUUUGAUCAUGUUAUGCUUGUGAGAGAGGUUAUAGUCAACGGGUCUGAACCUUUCAGAUCCGUGUGUGCUUUACAAAUCUCUAUGUCAUCUCCUAGAUGCAGCUACCACGCUCUAUUUGGAGCUAUUCCAAAUAACUGUUCUACUAUACGAAUCCAGUUUACUACUCAGAAUAAUCUGGAUUAGUGUCAAAGUUUGCAUCGGCGUAACCCUUUACGACGAACUCUUUUACCACCUCCAUAAUCGAGAAAAUUCCUUAGUCCACUAGUUACUAAGGAUAACUUUGAUCGCUGUCCUGUGAUCCAUUCUUGGAUCACUCUUGUACCCCUUGACUGACUCAUGGCAAGGCACACUUCAGGUGCGGUACAUAGCAUAGCAUACUGUAGAGCCUAUGUCUUAAGCAUAGGGGACGACCUUCGUUCUUUCUCUCUAUUCUGCCGUGGUCAAGCUUUAAGUCUUAACUUCAUACCUUACAACUCAGGCAAGAACUCCUUCUUUGACUGAUCCAUCUUGAACACCUUCAAGAUCAUGUCAAGGAAUGUGCUCAUUUGAAAGUACCAUUAAGUGUUUUGAUCUAUCCUUAUAGAUCUUGAUGCUCAAUGUUCAAAUAGCUUAAUCCAGGCUUUCCAUUGAAAAAACACUUUCCAAAUAACCCUAUAUGCUUUCCAGAAAUUCUACGUCAUUUCUGAUCAACAAUAUGUCAACAACAUAUAUUCAUCAGAAAUUCUAUAGUGCUCCCACUCACUUCUUUGGAAAUACAAGUUUCUCAUAAACUUCGUAUUCACCCAAAAUCUUUGAUCAUCUCAUCAAAGCAUACAUUCCAACUCGAGAUGCUUACUCCAGUACUUAGAAGGAUUGCUGGAGCUUUGCAUACUUAUUAGCAUAUUUCAGGAUUGACAAAACCUUCCGGUUGUAUCACAUACAACCUUUCCUCAAAAAUCAUCGAGGAAACAAUGUUUUGACAUCCUAUCUGCAAGAUUUCAUAAAUGAUGCAGUAAUUGCUAAUAUAAUUCCAACAGACUCUUAGCAUCGCUACGAGUGAGAAAGUCUCAUCGUAGUCAACUCCUUGAACUUGUCGGAAAACAUCUUAAUGACAAGUCGAGCUUUCUUAAUGGUGAUACUUACCAUCAUUGUCCGUCUUCCUUUUAAAAUCCAUAUGUACCUAACAGCCUUACGACCAUCAAGUUGUUCUUCCAAAGUCUACACUUUGUUUUCACAUAUGGAUCCUCUCUCGGAUUAUAUGGCCUUGAGCCAUUUUGGAAUCCAGGCCCACCAUUGCUCCUCCAUAGCUCGUAGGUUCAUUGUUGUCUAGCAACAUGACUUCCAAGACAGGAUUACGUACCAUUCUAAAGCAGUACACAUCCUUGUCAUCCCACGAGGUUUGGUAGUGACUUGAUCUGAAGUUUCAUGAUCACUAUCAUAAGCUUCCACUUCAAUUGGUGUAGGUGCCACAGGAACAACUCCCUGUGCCCUGCCACACACUAGUUGAAGAGAUGGUUCAAUAACCUCAUCAAGUCUCCACCAUCCUCCCACUCAAUUCUUUCGAGAGAAACUUUUCCUCGAGAAAGGACCCGAUUCUAGUAACAAUCCCUUAUUGCUUUCGAAUCUGAGACAGGAGGUAUACCCAACUGUUUUGGGUGUCCUAUGAAGAUGUAUUUAUCCGCUUUGGGUUCGAGCUUAUCGACCUGAAACUUUUUCACAUAAGCGUCGCAGCCCCAAACUUUUAAGAAAUGACAGCUUAGGUUUCUCUAAACCAUAGUUCAUACGGUGUCAUCUCAUCGGAAUUACGUGGUGCCCUAUUUAAAGUGAAUGUGGUUGUCUCUAAUGCCUAACCCAUAAACUAUUGUGGUAAUUCGAUAAGAGACAUCAUGGUAUGCAUCAUAUCCAAUAGGGUGCAGUUAUGAUGUUCGGACACACCAUCACACUAUGGUGUUCCAGGCUGUAUCAGUUGUGAAACAAUUUCCACAAUGUCUUAAUUCUGUGCCAAACUCGUAAUUCAGAUAUUCAUCUCUAUGAUCAUAUCAUAGAUAUUUUAUCCUCUUGUCACGAUGAUCUUUCAACUUCACCCUGAAAUUACUUGAACCUUUCAAUAAUUCAAACUCAUGAUUCAUCAAGUAAAUAUACUCAACAUCUACUCAAAUCAUCUGUGAAGUAAGAACAUAACGAUAUCCACUACAUUCCUCAGCACUCAUUGGACUGCACACAUCAAAAUGUAUUACUUCCAACAAGUUGCUUUCUAGUUCCAUUUUACUGAAACCGAGGCUUUCAGUCAUCUUGCCCAUGUGGUAUGAUUUGCAUGUCUCAAGUGAUUCAAAAUCAAGUGAGUCCAAAUGGUCCAUUUGCAUGGAGUUUCUUCAUGCAUAUACACCAAUAGACAUGGUUCGCAUGUCUCAAACUUUUCAAAAAUGAGUGAGCCCAAAGAUCCAUCAACAUGGAGCUUCUUCAUGCGUUUUAUACUGAUAUGACUUACGUGGCAGUGCCACAAGUAGGUGGUACUAUCAUUACUAUCUUAUAUCUUUUGGCAUGAACAUGUGUAUCACUACGAUCAAGAUUCAAUAAACCAUUCAUUUUAGGUGCAAGACCAUUGAAGGUAUUAUUCAAAUGAACAGAGUAACCAUUAUUCUCCUUAAAUGAAUAGCCGUAUCGCGAUAGACAUAAUCCAAUCAUGUCUAUGCUCAACGCAAACACCAAAUAACAAUUAUUUAGGUUUAACACCAAUCUCGAUGGUAGAGGGAGCGUGCGAUGCUUGAUCAUAUCAACAUUGGAAACACUUCCAACACAUAUCGUCAGCUCACCUUUAGCUAGUCUCCGUUUAUUCCGUAGCUUUUAUUUCAAGUUACUAACACUUAGCAACCGAACCGGUAUCUAAUACCCUGGUGCUACUAGGAGUACCAGUAAAGUACACAUUAACACAAUGUAUAUCCAAUAUACUUCUAUCGACCUUGCCAGCCUUCUCUUCUACCAAGUAUCUAGGGUAAUUCUGCUCCAGUGGCUGUUCCCCUUAUUACAGAAGCACUUAAUUAGUCUCGGGUUUGGGUUCAACCUUGGGUUUCUUCACUAGAGCAGCAGCUAAUUUGCCGUUUCAUGAAGUAUCCCUUCUUGCCCUUGCCCUUCUUGAAACUAGUGGUUUCACCAACCAUCAACAAUUGAUGCUCCUUCUUGAUUUCUACUUUUGUGGUGUCAAACAUCGCGAAUAUCUCAAGGAUCAUCAUAUAUGUCCCUGAUAUAUUAUAGUUCAUCACGAAGCUCUAGCAGCUUGGUGGUAAUGACUUCGGAGAAACAUCACUUUCUCAUCUGGAAGAUCAACUCCCACUCGAUUCAAAUGAUUGUUGUACUCAGACAAUCUGAGCACAAGCUCAACAAUUGAGCUUUUCUCCCUUAGUUUGCAGGCUAAGAAAAUUGUCGGAGGUCUUAUACCUCUUGACAUGGGCACGAGCCUGAAAUCCAAAUUUCAGCCCUCGAAACAUCUCAUAUGUUUUGCGACGUUUCAAAACGUCUUUGGUGCCUCAACUCUAAACCGUUUAACUGAACUAUCACGUAGUUAUGAAAAUGUGUAUGUCAGAUGUUCGCAACAUCCACAGACAACGUUCGAGGUUCAGCACACUGAGCGGUGCAUUAAGGACAUAAGCCUUCUAUGAAGCAAUGAGGACAAUCCUCAGUUUACGGACCUAGUCCGCAUAAUUGCUACUAUCAACUUUCAACUAUUUUUUUUUCUCUAGGAACAUAUCUAAACAGUAGAACUAAAGCGCGAGCUACGACAUAAUUUGCAAAAUCCUUUUGACUAUGUUCAGGAUAAACAAGUUCAUCUUAUGAACUUCCACUCAGAUAGAUAUCCCUCUAGUCAUCUAAGUGAUUACAUGAUCCGAGUCAACUAGGCCGUGUUCGAUCAUCACGUGAGACGGACUAGUCAUCAUCGGUGAACAUCUUCAUGUUGAUCGUAUCUACCAUACGACUCAUGCUCGACCUUUCGGUCUCUUGUGUUCCGAGGCCAUGUCUGUACAUGCUAGGCUCAUCAAGUCAACCUAAGUGUUUCGCGUGUGUAAAUCUGUCUUACACCCGUUGUAUGUGAACGUUAGAAUCUAUCACGCCCGAUCAUCACGUGGUGCUUCGAAACGACGAACUUUCGCAACGGUGCAUAGUUAGGGGGAACACUUUCUUGAAAUUUUAAUGAGGGAUCAUCUUAUUUACUACUGUCGUUCUAAGCAAAUAAGAUGUAUAAACAUGAUAAACAUCACAUGCAAUCAAAUAGUGAUAUGAUAUGGCCAAUAUCAUAGUGCUCCUUUUGAUCUCCAUCUUCGGGGCUCCAUGAUCAUCAUCACCGGCAUGACACCAUGAUCUCCAUCAUCAUGAUCUCCAUCAUCGUGUCUUCAUGAAGUUGUCUCGCCAACUAUUACUUCUACUACUACAGCUAACUGUUAGCAAUAAAGUGAAGUAAUUACAUGGCGUUGUUUAAUGACACGCAGGUCAUAUAAUAAAUUAAGACAACUCCUAUGGCUCCUGCCGGUUGUCAUACUCAUCGACAUGCAAGUCGUGAUUCCUAUUACAAGAACAUGAUCAAUCUCAUACAUCACAUAUCAUUCAUCACAUUCUUCUUGGCCAUAUCACAUCACAUAGCAUACCCUGCAAAAACAAGUUAGACGUCCUCUAAUUGUUGUUUGCAUGUUUUACGUGGCUGCUAUGGGUUUCUAGCAAGAACGUUUCUUACCUACGCAAAACCACAACGUGAUAUGCCAAUUGCUAUUUACCCUUCAUAAGGACCCUUUUCAUCGAAUCCGAUCCGUCUAAAGUGGGAGAGACAAACACCCGCCAGCCACCUUAUGCAACUAGUGCAUGUUUGUCGAUGGAACCGGUCUCACGUAAGCGUAUGUGUAAGGUUGGUCCGGGCCGCUUCAUCCCACAAUGCCGCCGAAUCAAGAUUGGACUAGUAACGGUAAGCAUAUUGAACAAAAUCAACGCCCACAACUACUUUGUGUUCUACUCGUGCAUAGAAUCUACGCAAUAGACCUAGCUCAUGAUGCCACUGUUGGGUAACGUAGCAGAAAUUCAAAAUUUUCCUAUGUGUCACCAAGAUCUAUCUAUGGAGAAACCAGCAACGAGGGGAAGGAGAGUGCAUCUACAUACCCUUGUAGAUCGCUAAGCAGAAGCGUUCAAGAGAACGUGGUUGAAGGAGUCGUACUCGUCAUGAUCCAAAUCACCGAUGAUCCUAGUGCCGAACGGAUGACACCUCUGCGUUCAACACACGUACAGCCCGGUGACGUAUCCCACGCCUUGAUCCAGCAAGGAGAGAGGGAGAGGUUGAGGAAGACUCCAUCCAGCAGCAGCACAACGGCGUGGUGGUGGUGGAGGAGCGUGGCAAUCCUGCAGGGCUUCGCCAAGCACCACGGGAGAGGAGGAAGGAGAGAUGCAGGGCUGCGUCAUAUAGAGGAGAGGAACUCGCGUCUUAUGAGCAGCCCAAACCUCAACUAUAUAUAGGGGAAGGGGAGGGGCUGCGACCCCUUUAGGGUUUCCACCCCUAGGGGUGGCGGCCAGCCUAGAUCCCAUCUAAGGGAGGCGGCCAAGGGGGAGGGGGAGAGGGAGGCGCACCAGGAUGGGCCUUAGGGCCCAUCUGCCCUAGGGUUUGCCCCCUUCUCCUCUCCCUUGCGCCUUGGGCCCUUGUGGGGGGGGGCGCACCAGCCCACCUGGGGCUGGUCCCCUUCCACACUUGGCCCAUGAAGCCCUCCGGGGCUGGUGGCCCCACUUGGUGGACCCCCGGGACCCUCCCGGUGGUCCCGGUACGUUACCGAUAAACCCCAAAACUUUUCCGGUGACCAAAAUAGGACUUCCCAUAUAUAAAUCUUUACCUCCGGACCAUUCCGGAACUCCUCGUGACGUUCGGGAUCUCAUUCGGGACUCCGAACAACAUUCGGUAACCACAUACAAACUUCCUUUAUAACCCCAGAGUCAUCGAACCUUAAGUGUGUAGACCCUACGGGUUCGGGAGACAUGCAGGCAUGACCGAGACGUUCUCCGGUCAAUAACCAACAGCGGGAUCUGGAUACCCAUGUUGGCUCCCACAUGUUCCACGAUGAUCUCAUCGGAUGAACCACGAUGUCAAGGACUUAAUCAAUCCCGUAUACAAUUCCCUUUGUCUAUCGGUAUGAUACUCGCCCGAGAUUCGAUCGUCGGUAUCCCGAUACCUUGUUCAAUCUCGUUACCGGCAAGUAUCUUUACUCGUUCCAUAACACAUCAUCCCGUGAUCAACUCCUUGAUCACAUUGUGCACAUUAUGAUGAUGUCCUACCGAGUGGGCCCAGAGAUACCUCUCCGUCACACGGAGUGACAAAUCCCAGUCUCGAUUCGUGCCAACCCAACAGACACUUUCGGAGAUACCCGUAGUGUACCUUUAUAGCCACCCAGUUACGUUGUGACGUUUGGCACACCCAAAGCACUCCUACGGUAACCGGGAGUUGCACAAUCUCAUGGUCUAAGGAAAUAUUGACAUUAGAAAAGCUUUAGCAUACGAACUACAUGAUCUAGUGCUAUGCUUAGGAUUGGAUCUUGUCCAUCACAUCAUUCUCCUAAUGAUGUGAUCCCGUUAUCAACGACAUCCAAUGUCCAUGGUCAGGAAACCGUAACCAUCUAUUGAUCAACGAGCUAGUCAACUAGAGGCUUACUAGGGACAUGGUGUUGUCUAUGUAUCCACACAUGUAUCUGAGUUUCCUAUCAAUACAAUUCUAGCAUGGAUAAUAAACGAUUAUCAUGAACAAGGAAAUAUAAUAAUAAUCAAUUUAUUAUUGCCUCUAGGGCAUAUUUCCAACAGUCAGAUUGUUCGGUGUUGGGCAGUGCGGUUGAGUCCGGGCUGUUAUUGCCGGGUUCCCCUUCCCAUACUACGGACGGCUUGAAUAGCCUUUCCAAGAAGAUGUUGGGAGGGACUGCAUCGCGUUUUGCGCCGAUGCGUGCCAGGACAUCCGCCGCCUGAUUAUUUUCCCGGGCUAUAUGGUGAAAUUCGAGCCCUUCGAACUGAGCUGACAUUUUUAAGACGAUGUUGCGAUAAGCUGCCAUUUUUGGAUCCUUGGCAUCGAAGUCUCUGUUUAUUUGGGACAUUGCGAGGUUCAAAUCCCCUCGCACUUCUAGGCGUUGAAUACCCAUGGAUACUGCCAUCCAGAGACCAUGUAAGAGGGCCUCGUAUUCGGCUGCAUUGUUGGAGUCUGUGUACAUAAUCUGGAGUACAUAUUGAACUGUGUCUCCUGUGGGGGACGUCAAAACGACGCCAGCCCCCAGACCGGCCAACAUUUUGGAGCCGUCGAAAUGCAUGAUCUAGUUUUAAUAUGUGCCGUACUCUUCAGGGAGUUCGGCCUCCGUCCAUUCUGUGACGAAGUCAGCCAAAACUUGCGACUUGAUAGCUCGCCGUGGCUUAUAAGUUAUGUCGAACGGGAGGAGCUCGAUGGCCCAUUUCGCAAUCCGGCCCGUUGCGUUGCGGUUCUUUAUAAUAUCGUUUAGUGGUACUUCUGAGGCUACUAUUAUUGAACACUCUUGAAAGUAGUGUCGCAGCUUCCGGGAUGCCAUGAAUACCGCGUACGCAAUCUUUUGAUAAUGUGGGUACCUUGAUUUGCACGGAGUGAGGACAGUGGACACAUAAUAGACCGGCUUCUGAAGGGGGAAUUUGUGUCCGUCGUUUCUCGUUCGACGACGAGCACUGCGCUCAGAACCUGAUGGGUUGCUGCAAUGUAUAAUAGCAUUGGUUCGCCAAUGUUUGGCGCGGCCAGGACUGGGUUUGUUGCCAAUAUGGCUUUUAUUUCGUCGAGUCCGGCCGUGGCUGCGUCCGUCCACUCGAAGUGUUCGGUGCGCCUAAGGAGGCGGUAAAGGGGGAGUGCCUUUUCUCCCAAGUGGGAGAUAAAGCGGCUUAGAGCCGCCACACAUCCGGUUUACUUUUGUAUUUGUUUGAGGUCCUUUGGGAUAUUCAAUUGUGACAGAGCUCGGAUCUUGGCUGGAUUUGCUUCAAUUCCUCUACCGAAUACAAUGAAGCCCAAGAGCUUUCCGGCUGGAACGCCGAAAACGCAUUUUUCUGGGUUGAGCUUGAUGUCGUAUGUUCGGAGGUUAUCAAAUGUGAGCCUCAAGUCAUCUACUAGGGAUUCGACAUGUCUUGUUUUUACGACCACAUCAUCUACAUAUGCCUCCACUGUUUUGCUGAUCUGGUUUGCCAGACAUGUCUGAAUCAUGCGCUGAUAUGUUGUUUUGAGCCCGAAGGGCAUUGUGUUGAAGCAGAAUGGGCCGUAUGGUGUGAUCAAUGUCGUUGCGGCUUGGUCUGAUUCUGCCAUCUUGAUUUGAUGGUAGCCGGAAUAUGCGUCGAGCAAGCACAACGAAUCGUGUCCUGCAGUAGCGUCGAUAAUUUGAUCCAUGCGGGGGAGGGGAAAGGGAUCCUUUGGGCAAGCCUUAUUAAGGUCUUUAAAAUCAACGCACAAGUGCCAGGAUUUGUCCUUCUUUGGUACCAUCACUAGGUUUGCUAGCCAGUCCGGAUGUUUUAUAUCUCUGAUGGAUCCGGCCUCUAAUAGCUUGGCUAGCUCCUCUCCCAUGGCCUGUCUCUUAGGUUCGGAAAAACGCCGAAGAGCCUGUUUGACAGGUUUGAAUCCUUUAGGAUAUUUAAGCUGUGUUCGGCCAGCCUGCGUGGGAUUCCUGGCAUGUCUGAAGGGUGCCAGGCGAAAAUGUCCUAGUUCUCACGUAGGAACUCUCGCAGUGCGGCGUCUACAUCAGGGUUUAAUUGUGCACCGAUGGAAGCUGUUUUAUUGGGGUCCGUUGGAUGGACCUGGAAUUUGACUAUUUUGUCCGCUGGUUUAAAUGAGAUGGACUUGGAUCUUUUGUCGAGUAUCACAUCAUCCCUGUUCACCGUGGAGCGCAGCGCAGUCAGCUCCUCAGCCGCUAGGGCUUAGGAUAGUGCCUCAAGGGCCAGUGCGGCUGUCUUAUUUUAGGCGCGGAGUGCUAUGUCCAGAUCACUAGCGAGAGUGAUGAUUCCGUUCGGCCCGGGCAUCUUGAGUUUCAUGUACCCAUAAUGGGGUAUUGCUUGGAAGAUUGUGAACGCUUCCCGCCCUAGCAGAGCGUGGUAUCCGCUACUGAACGGGACCACUUGGAACGUGACCUCCUCGGACCUGUAAUUAUCCGGCGUGCCGAACACCACAUCUAGUGUGAUUUUUCCUGUACAGCACGCUUCCUGACUGGGGAUUAUUCCUCUAAAGGUUGUGCUGCUUCGCUCAAUGCGGUUCCAGUCUAUUUCUAGUUUUUGAAGGGUUUCCUCAUAAAUGAGGUUCAAUCCGCUGCCUCCAUCCAUGAGUACCUUGGUAAGGCGAAAGCCAUCCACUAUUAGACUGAGGACCAAUGUGGCUGGUGCUCGGGCUGUUCGGAAUUUAGGUUCAUCACUGGCAUUAAAAGUAAUAGCCGUGUCACUCCAUGGGUUUAUUGUUGCUACUUGGUAGACUUCGACAAGGCUGCGGAGUGUUCUUUUUCGCAUAUUAUUUGAUGCGAAAGUCUCGAAGACUGUUAAUACCGUACCGGUAUCCCUGGGGUGGCUUUCUAUGGCCUCCGGAAUUAGGAGAUCUUCACCAAUUUUGGCCACCUGCCGGAGUAUCCAACAUGCUCUAAGGCUGUGAGUUGGUGUGGCGCCCUCUGUACUAUGAAUUUUACAGGGUCGAUUAAGCCAUCCUUCCAAUAUGCUUCCAUGCCCUGUAGAGGGUUUUUGCUUUUUGGUGUUUAACCGGGUGUCUGGCGAAGAUGCACCCUUUUAUUUCGGACUGGGUUUGUAUUCAGGGCCGGAUUGUCCCAAAAUUUUAUUUCGGUUUUCCAGGCGCUAUCCAUCGCACAGUACUUUCGUACUAUGGACACCAAGUCAGCGAAGCAUGUAAUAUCACGGCGACUUAUGGCGUUGAGGAUUCCCUUGUCCAUGCAAUUAUUGCAGAAGAAUGAGAUUGCGUCUUCCUCGCGGCAGUCCUUGAUCCUGUUCAUAGCCAGGAGGAAUCUGGCCCAGUAAUGAUGUACUGUUUCUUUGGGUUUUUGCCUAAUUUGGGAUAGAUCGCUUAUGUUCGGGUGGGUGGGUGGAAUUAAAUCCGAAACCUGACCCGAUCUGAGACUCAGAGGCCAAGGAGAUUCCGAACUCGGAAGUUUGGAUUCUUGGAUGUUGUCCAAUGAGUCUAGCCCGUCGCCUGACUCUAAGUUCAGGUCUUGAGUGAUGUCCUCCCCUCCGCGGGUAUCCGACUUGGAGGGAUCGGGAAUCCGGACAUAACUAGUCCUUAAGAUAGAUGAAGGGUCACCGCACUGUCCCUCUACCAUAGCAAUGUGAUGGGUGACCUGGGGAGAGUUAAUCUCUCUUAGAUCGGGUUUAGGCCCAAUCUGGUCAUAAUCCGUGGCAACUCCCAGGGCGGCGACGCGAUCCAAGAGCUCGUUUAUGGAAGAGAGCUCCAUUGUAUCUAACUGCUCGGCGAGUUCCGAGAUGACAUGAAGACUGCUUUUGAUGACCCGAGAGGUCAUCGUCGGCGCAGCAGCCGAACAGGCGGUCAUAAGAAAACCGCCUAGCCGGAGAGUUUGGCCGACAGCCAAAGCUCCCUUAGCAACGGUUCCGUCUUUAAAGACGGGAUGAGGCAUCCUUCCUGAUGGCGACGGCACAGAGGAACUCUCAAUGUAAGCACCAAUAUCGGUGUCAAAACCGGCGGAUCUCGGGUAGGGGGUCCCGAACUGUGCGUCUAGGCGGAUGGUAACAGGACACAAGGGACACGAUGUUUACCCAGGUUCGGGCCCUCUCGAUGGAGGUAAAACCCUACUCCUGCUUGAUUAAUAUUGAUGAUAUGGGUAGUACAAGAGUAGAUAUACCACGAGAUCAAGGAGGCUAAACCCUAGAAGCUAGCCUAUGGUAUGAUUGUUGUUGUCCUACGGACUAAAACCCUUCGGUUUAUAUAGACACCGGAGAGGGUUAGGGUUACACAGAGUCGGUUACAAUGGUAGGAUAUCUACAUAUCCGUAUCGCCAAGCUUGCCUUCCACGCCAAGGAAAGUCCCUUCCGGACAUGGGACGAAGUCUUCAAUCUUGUAUCUUCAUAGUCCGGGAGUCCGGCUGAAGGUAUAGUCCGGCUAUCCAGACACCCCCUAAUCCAGGACUCCCUCACCCAGGUUUUCAGCCAAGAUUAUAACUAACCAUGUCGACAAUAACUCUUAAACAUUAUAGUAACUCUUAUGAGUAGAGGCCGCGGGAAAAAGCCUAGUAGUAGCGCGGAUAAAAGACUAGUAGUAGUGCGGGUGCCCGUGCUACUACUAUGGCGCUACAGCUAACUCGUAGUAGUAGCGCAGGUGCCACCCGUGCUACUAGUACGUGUGUUAGUAAUAGCGCGGAUUCUACACACGCUACUACUAACUAUGUGUAGCGCCUGUCUGUGACCCGCGCUACUACUAUUAAUUUCAAAAACCAAAAAAAAAUCUCGACCCCGUGCAUGUUGUCAAUGGUGUCAUCCAGCGACGACAGGGGUUGCCGGAGGUGUGGACGGGUAGUGGCAGACCAGAUCCGGCGAUGGCUGUUGGAGAUGGCCGGAUCCAGUGUAGAGCAAGACGACGGUGUGAGGAUCCUCUUCGCGGUCAAGGCGGAGAACUCCUGGUUGGCCAUGUCGACGACCUGUGCAGGCAUGGGCAUGGGAGGUGAGUAAAACCAAAGGGAGAGGGAGAGGAGAGGGAGAGGGAAAAAGAGAAACAAGGGAGAAAGGAAGGAGAUGGAGGGCGUAUCGGGGCUGCAUGGAGGCGAGGAGGAAGACGGGCGAGCUCUUGGACGCCAGCGAUGCGAGGAGGAAGACGUUGGGUGCCAUGGAGGAGGAGAUGUUCUUGGGCAGGAGCACCAUGGAGAGAGGGGGAAAGUGAGGGAGAGAGGAGGAAAGUGAGAGAGGGGGAAAGUGAGGGAGAGAGGAGGGAUUCGGCCGAGGAUAUGGAGAUUUCAUCUACCUCGUACUUAGUAGUAGCGAGGGGUAUAAAACCGCACUACUACUAUCAACAUAGUAGUAGCAUGGGUUUGUACCCCUCGCUACUACUAUGGCAUGUCCCGGGAGGGCAUGGUAGACACCGCUUAGUAGUAUCGAGGGUGAAAAACCCGCGCUAAUAGUAUCAACUUAGUAGUAGCGAGGGGUAAAAACCCACGCUACUAGUAAGUAGCAGUAGCGACGGUUAUAAACCCGCGCUACUAGUAAGCGUCUGCCUAUAAGCUUUUCCCUAGUAGUGGCAUAUCUAUGACAUAAUCAACUAGCGAGCAAUAAUAAGAUAUCUCAAACAACAACACGUUGUGAAAACAACCAUGAUAUAAUAUGACAAUAGUGGUAUCUCGCUAGCCCUUUCUAAGACCGCAAAACAUAAAUGCAGAGCACCUCCAAAGUUCAAGCAGCGACUAAACAUUGUAAUUCAUGGUAGAAAAGAUCUAGUCUUGAUGCACCCAACAUUAGCAACACAUAGUGCAUCAGCAUGACAACAGUGCUCUUUGGAUUUGGCACUUAUUUUAGAAGGUGAUGACACAACAUAAAAGUAAAUAGAUAGUCCCUUCGCAGAGGGAAGCAGUGAUUUGCAGCUGUGCCAGAGCUCAAAAUUUUAAAACAGAGGUAAAUGAAAUUUUGGGAAAUUGAUACGUAUCCAAUGUAUCUAUAAUUUUUUAUUGUUCCAUGCUAUAUUAUAUUAUGUUUUGGAUGUUUAAUAGGCUUAUUUAUACACUUUUAUAUUAUUUUUGGGACUAACCUAUUAACCGGAGGCCCAGCACAAAUUGCUGUUUUUGUUCCUACUUCAGUGUUUCGCAAAAAAAAGAAUAUCAAAUGGAGUGCAAACGGAAUGAAACCUUCGGGAACAUGAUUUUUGAAACAAAUGUGAUCCAGAGGACUUGGAGUCCAUGUCAAGCAGUCAACGAGGAGGGCACGAGGCAGGGGGCGCUCCUACCUCCCCCUAGGCGCGCCCUCCACCCUCAUGGGGCCCACGUUGCUCCACCGGCGUACUUCUUCCUCCUAUAUAUACCUACGUACCCCCAAACCAUCAGGGGCAUCCACGAAAACCUAAUUCCACCGCCGCAACCUUCUGUACACGUGAGAUCCCAUCUUGGGGCCUUUUCCGGCAUCCUGCCGGAGGGGGCAUUGAUCACGGAGGGCUUCUACAUCAACACCAUAGCCACUCCGAUGAUGUGUGAGUAGUUUACCUUAGACUUUUGGGUCCAUAGUUAUUAGCUAGAUGGCUUCUUCUCUCUCUUUGGAUCUCAAUACAAAGUUCUCCACGAUUCUCGUGGAGAUCUAUUCGAUGUAAUCUUCUUUUGCGGUGUGUUUGUCGGGACCGAUGAAUUAUGGAUUUAUGAUCAAGUUUAUCUAUGAACAAUAUUUGAAUAUCCUCUGAAUUCUUUUAUGUAUGAUUGGUUAUCUUUGCAAGUCUCUUCGAAUUAUCAGUUUGGUUUGGCCUACUAGAUUGAUCUUUCUUGCAACGGGAGAAGUGCCUAGCUUUGAGUUCAAUCUUGUGGUGUCGUUUCCCAGUGACAGCAGGGGCAGCAAGGCACGUAUUGUAUUGUUGCCAUCGAGGAUAACAAGAUGGGGUUUAUAUCAUAUUGCAUGAGUUUAUCUCUCUACAUCAUGUCAUCUUGCUUAAAGCGUUACUCUGUUCUUAUGAACUUAAUACUCUAGAUGCAUGUUGGAUAGCGAUCGAUGUGUGGAGUAAUAGUAGUAGAUGCAGGCAGGAGUCGGUCUACUUGUCACGGACAUGAUGCCUAUAUACAUGAUCAUACCUAGAUAUUCUCAUAACUAUGCUCAAUUCUAUCAAUUGCUCGACAGUAAUUUGUUCACCCACCGUAAUACUUAUGCUUUUGAGAGAAGCCACUAAUGAAACAUAUGGCCCCCGGGUCUAUUUUCCAUCAUAUUAAUCUUCCAACACAUAGCCUUUUCUAUUGCCCUUUUUAUUUUACUUUGCAUCUCUAUUUCUCUUUAUCAUAGAAAUACUAAAAAUAUUAUCUUAUCAUAUCUAUCAGAUCUCACUCUCGUUAGUGACCGUGAAGGGAUUGACAACCCCUUUAUCGCGUUGGUUGCGAGGUUCUUAUUUGUUUUGUGUAGGUGCGUGGGACUUGAGCGUGGCCUCCUACUGGAUUGAUACCUUUGUUCUCAAAACUGAGGGAAAUACUUACGCUACUUUGUUACAUCACCCUUUCCUCUUCAAGGCAAAAAACAACGCAAUGCUCAAGAGGUAGCAAGAAAGAUUUCUGGCGCCGUUGCCGGGGAGUUUACGCAAAAGUCAACAUACCAAGUACCCAUCACAAACUCUUAUCCCUUGCAUUACAUUAUUUGCCAUUUGCCUCUCGUUUUCCUCUCCCUCGCUUCACCCUUGCCGUUUUAUUCGCCCUCUUUUCCGCUCGCCUUUCCUUCGCCAUGUCGGAACCAAAAAGAGUUGGGGGUUCUCUCCCGAGUUUUAGUACUUUGGACGAUCCUUCUAUUCUAUCUAAACUCAUAAAUAAUGUCAUGGUAAAACCUGCCGGAGUUGUCAAUGAGAGUCUUAAUAAUUUUGAUGAAGAUGAUUCCGGAAUUUUUCGUUAUUUACUCGAUGAAUCUUUGAAAGAUGCUUGGGAUAGACUGUUAAGGAUCCGGGCUAACUAUGUGCCCCAAUACCAAAUUGUAGUUUACUUGAAGAGCUUUUAUGUUGCCCUACCUUCUUCGUUUAAGCAUGUCUUAGAUUCUAUAUUUGAAGAAGGCUUUCUUGAAGGGGAUGCCGUAGAUACUUAUGAAAAGAUGAAGACCAUAUUCGGGCACCCCAUGAAUGAGAAAAUUGAAUCUACAUCUCUUUUGCUCUCCAGUCCUUGGUUCAUGUAAAUCUGAAUCUAGCCGGCACUACCCCUUCACAAGCUGUUGCAUAGUCUUCAGCGAGGUGCGGCAUAACUUCCGUGUGAGGGGAAAUGAACUUCUCCAUGAAUACCUUCUCUCUCACCUUGAAAGCGGUAUAGUAGUAGCCUGGGUUGCACUUGAGCAAUCCAUUUUCCAUGAGAAACUUUACAACGUAGUACCUGGGUUUCAUCCAGCCCUCCAGCUUGUAAUUGAUAAUUAUUGACCGUUGAGCAACGUAGGUAGGUUCCAACCUGUUAGACUAUGUAUAGCUUCUGUACCUAUGUACGUAUAUGGUACAUAUUGUAACACAACCAUUAUAUAUAAUGAGAUAAGCCACCCCUAGAGGGUUGUGCUGGUUCCCCAAAACUUAUUGUCUUACAUGGUAUCACGCUAGGUUACGAUCGCUUCCGCUUCUAAACCCUAAUACCCGCACCGCCGCCGCAGCCGCCGCCGCCUUCACCGCCGCCGCCGCGCCACCGAUCGCGCCGCCGCCAUGUCGAGCGCUGCCACCACCGGUUCCACUGCUGCGGGCUUCCUCCCGGCCUCUCUUGCGGCUCUGCUCAACCUCCCGCUCGAUGCCGUCUCUGUUCCGGCUCCGAUCGGGACAAGGAGCAUCGGCUCCGUCUUCUCCAUGCCGCCGGCGCCCUCGCUUGGGCGUGACCUCGUGGUCCACACCGCGGCGCCGCCGUCCGCUGCGGACUCCGCAGGCAUCGUCCCGCCGCUCCUGCCGCAAGCGGAUCACACUGCCCCGCUGGCGGGGUUGGCGGCGUCCGCCCCGGCCGCGGGCCUUGCGGCGUCCGCACCGGCCGCGAGCUUUGCGGCGCCCGCCCUGGCUGCGGUCCCGCCUCCUCCCGCAUCGGCUUCGGUGCCUCCAGCUGCCUCCAUGGUGUUUGCACCCCAGGCAGCCUCCUCGAUGGGAUUGUCUUCGCCGCUGCCGUUUCACUUCGGUCAUCUCAUCACCAUCAAGCUCUCCGCCGACAACUACAUCUUCUGGCGUGCGCAGGUUCUCCCGCUCUUGGGGAGUCACUACCUGCUAGGCUACAUCGACGGAUCGCUUCCCUGCCCACCCGCGCUGGUAGACAGCAUGCACGGUCCGGUCUACAAUCCGGCCCAUCGCGUCUGGACGGGGCAGGACCAGGCGAACCUCUCCUCCAUCCAGGGGUCGCUCUCGCCGGCAGUUGUCGGCCUUGUUGUCUUCGCGAAGACGUCUCAUGAGGCCUGGACCAUCCUUGAGCACACCUUUGCAGCGCAGUCCCAGGCUCGUGUCUCUGCACUCCGUCGUCAGCUUGGAGAGUGUCAGAAGCUUGACUCCACUGCCACUGAGUUCUACAACAAGGUCAAGGGCCUCGCCGACACAUUGGCCUCCAUUGGACAGCCCCUCACCGACUCCGAGUUCAACUCGUUUAUUGUCAAUGGUCUUGAUGAGGAGUAUGAUGCCUUAGUCGAGAUCAUCAACGAGCGGGGCAACUCGACACCCAUGCUGGCACACGAGGUUUUCUCUCGGCUCCUUCUCACUGAGCAACGGGUCGAGACUCGCCGCACCAGGGGCACUGGCUCCCUCUCGGCCAACGCCGCCACCAAGGGUGGCCGCUCUUCUUCAUCACCCCGGUCUCCCUUGGGGCUGCCACCGUCGCCCUCCUCGGCCCCCCACCUACUGCGACCUUACCGGGGGCUGGCGUUCCACGUGUGUGUCAGCUUUGUGGCCGCGAUGGGCACUGGGCCUCCAAGUGUCAUAAGCGCUUCCAGCGAAGCUUCCUUGGUCUUGGCAAUGACGGCAAAGAUACACGCAACAAUGCCCGUCAGGUCGCCAUGGCUGAUCGUCCCGCGCCGCAGAAGCAACAGGGACACACUCAGUCCUACUCCAUCGAUCCACACUGGUACAUGGACUCUGGGGCGAUAGAGCAUCUAACCAGCGAGAUGGGGAAGCUUCACACUCGUGAACCCUAUCAUGGCUCCGACAAGAUCCACACCGCCAAUGGAGCAGGUAUGCACAUCUCUCAUAUUGGUCAAGCAUCUCUUCUCACUAGACAUGCCAAUAGGAGUCUUCAGCUUCGCAAUGUUCUUCGAGUUCCAUCUGUGACCCGUAAUCUUCUUUCAGUUCCUAAACUCACACGUGAUAAUAAUGUGCUUUGUGAAUUUCACCCUUUUGAUCUUUUUAUUAAGGAUCGGGGCACGAGGGACAUUCUUCUUAGUGGGCGGUUGUGCCAGGGCCUCUACCGUCUGGAGCAUCCUGGUGUCGCUCGUGUUUUCAGUGGAGUUCGGGUCUCUCCGUCACAGUGGCAUGCUCGUCUUGGUCACCCGGCCACACCUAUUGUCCGUCAUAUUUUGCGUCGUCAUGAGCUUCCUAGUUUGUCUAGUCAUAAAGAUGUAGCAGUGUGUGAUGCUUGUCAGCAGGGGAAGAGUCAUCAACUUCCUUUUUCGGAGUCCAGUCGUGAGGUGAAACAUCCUUUAGAACUUGUGUUUUCAGAUGUAUGGGGUCCUGCUCAGACUUCUGUCAGUGGUCAUAAUUACUAUAUCAGUAGUCGCUUUACCUGGCUUUACCUUAUUAAACGCAAAUCUGAUGUGUUUGAUAUUUUUGUUCAGUUUCAAAAACAUGUUGAACGUCUUCUCAAGCACAAAAUUGUUCAUGUCCAGUCAGACUGGGGGGGCGAGUAUCGCAACCUCAACUCUUUCUUUCAGUCGCUUGGGAUAGCUCAUCGUUUAGCAUGUCCACAUACACAUCAGCAGAAUGGUUCAGUCGAACGUAAGCAUCGUCAUAUUGUUGAAGCUGGUCUUACUCUUUUGGCCCAUGCAUCUAUUCCGUUUCGGUUUUGGAGUGAUGCUUUCACCAUUGCAUGCUUUCUCAUCAACCAUACUCCUACUCGUGUUUUAAACAUGAAGACUCCCAUUGAGGUUCUCCUUAAUGAACAACCUGAUUAUACCUUUCUCAAGGUAUUUGGGUGUGCUUGCUGGCCGCAUCUUCGUCCAUAUAACAAGCGCAAGCUUGAGUUUCGUUCUAAGAAGUGUGUUUUUCUUGGCUAUAGCUCUCUUCAUAAAAGUUACAAAUGUCUUCAUGUUCCCACUAAUCGUGUCUAUAUAUCUCGGGACGUCGUGUUUGAUGAGCAUGUUUUUCCCUUUGCCAACCUUCCUGUGUCCACUGUCGAACCACCAUCCCUGCAUUCAUCCUCUGUUGCUUCUGACCAAUUUGAUGAUGUUGCAUACUCUCCUUUGCUGUUACCUAACCAUCUCCACUGCUCGGUCCGUUUCGCCAGCGGCCGCCGAGUCGCCCGCGACUCGGCCCGUCACGCCGUCUUCGCCUGCGGCUCGGCCCGUCACGCCGUCUUCGCCCGCGGCUCGGGUCCUCAUGUCGCCUUCAUCAGCGGAUCGGCCUGCGACACCGGCCGCGCCACGGCCCACUAUGCCGAGCUCGCCAUCGGCCCGGUCUGUGAUGCCGGAGUCGCCAGCUGCUUCGUCUGCUCUGCCGGUUUCGCCGGUGGGUCGGCCUUCUUCGCCAACCGAGUCCGAGGCUACCGUGACUGGCUCCUCGUCACCGGCUGACUCGUCAACGUCGCCGUCCUCCAGCCCGUUGCAGGCUGCUCCGUCGACCUCGGUGGUUCCUGUGUCCCGACCACAUACAUGCAGUCGCAGUGGCAUUUUCAAACCUAAGGAACGUAAGGAUGGUACGGUUGCUUGGUUGGCUGCUUGUUUGGCUGCUGCUGUUGCGGAUCCAUCUUCUGAGCCUCGCUCAUAUCAGGCUGCCCUGCGCAUUCCACAUUGGCGAGAGGCUAUGGAGCAGGAGUUUCAUGCUCUUCUUCGUAACAAGACAUGGACUCUCGUUCCUCCACCACCACGGGUAAAUGUUAUUGAAUCAAAAUGGGUAUUCAAAGUGAAGAAGCAUUCGGAUGGAUCUAUUGAGCGUUACAAAGCGCGACUUGUUGCUCGCGGUUUUCGGCAGCGUCAUGGUCUUGACUAUGAGGACACCUUCAGUCCUGUCGUCAAGCCUACCACUAUUCGACUUCUUCUCUCCAUUGUUGUUUCUCGUGGUUGGUCACUUCGUCAACUUGAUGUGCAGAAUGCUUUUCUACAUGGAUUUUUGGAGGAAGAGGUUUAUAUGAAACAGCCGCCUGGUUUCUCUGAUCCUGAUCGUCCUGACUAUAUCUGUCGUCUUUCCAAAGCACUAUAUGGUUUGAAGCAAGCUCCUCGUGCCUGGCAUGCCUGCCUUGCCUCUGCCCUUCGUGCUCAUGGGUUUGUGCCGUCUACUGCUGACACUUCGUUAUUUCUUCUACAGAAGCCAGAAGUCACUAUGUAUCUUUUGGUAUAUGUCGAUGAUAUUAUCCUUGUCAGCUCUUCUCAGUAUGAUGCUGAUGCUCUUGUCUGCUCUCUUGGUGCUGAUUUUGCGGUCAAAGAUCUUGGGAAGCUUCACUACUUUCUUGGAGUUGAGGUCACUUCUCGUGCUACUGGUCUUGUCCUUACGCAGAAGAAGUACUCCUUGGAGUUGUUACAGAGAGCUGGCAUGCUGAAGUGCAAACCGACCACCACACCCAUGUCGUCUACCGACAAGAUAACAGCUGCUGAUGGUGAGCUUUUGUCUCCUGCGGAUGCCACAGAGUACAGGAGCAUUGUUGGUGGACUUCAGUACUUGACGAUCACGAGACCAGAUAUCUCUUAUGCUGUUAACAGGGUUUGUCAGUAUCUUCAGGCUCCCAGAGAUACUCAUUGGGCUGCUGUUAAACGCAUUCUUCGUUAUGUUCAGUUCAUCCUGACAUUUGGUAUGCAUAUUCGGCCGACUUCCUCUCGGGUCCUUUCGGCCUUCUCUGAUGUAGAUUGGGCUGGUAGCCCAGAUGACAGACGAUCCACGGGGGGUUAUGCAGUAUUCUUUGGCUCUAAUUUGAUCGCCUGGAGUGCUCGGAAACAAGCUACUGUGUCACGUAGCAGUACUGAAGCUGAGUACAAGGCUGUGGCUAAUGCUACUGCAGAGAUUAUUUGGGUGCAGUCUUUGCUUCAGGAGUUGGGUUUGUCUCAACCACAGCCUCCUAUUCUUUGGUGUGAUAACAUCGGUGCUACAUACCUUUCUGCAAAUCCAGUAUUUCAUGCCCGAAUGAAACACAUUGAAGUUGACUAUCACUUUGUACGGGAACGUGUAUCACAGAAGCAACUCCAGAUCAAGUUUAUCUCAUCUAAGGAUCAACUUGCAGACAUCUUCACUAAGCCUUUACCGCUGCCACAGUUUGAGGCUUGUAGGCGCAAUCUUACCCUUCUCAGUUCUUUAGAAAGUGGCUAAGAUUGAGGGAGGGUGUUAGACUAUGUAUAGCUUCUGUACCUAUGUACGUAUAUGGUACAUAUUGUAACACAACCAUUAUAUAUAAUGAGAUAAGCCACCCCUAAAGGGUUGUGCUGAUUCCCCAAAACUUAUUGUCUUACACAACCCCACCUCAGAGAUGAGGAAAUCAGACCUGCGCUGCAGUAAUUCCUUUGACUUCCUCAGCAGACACGGAGCGUUACACACAACAAUGCUCACCUCAGCGUCUGACCACCUGAACAUCUUCUUCAAGUAGGCCACAUUGGCGGCGAUCUUCUCCUCGCUGAGGAAUCUGACAGUAUCCAGCGUGUGCCUGAACAUCCUGAGCCACGAGGCAUGCCAAGGCCUUCGGCGCAUGCCACCAUCGCCCUGACGUGUUCUGGCUUGUUGCUCAGGACACCCCGCGCGCGGAGGGACAACUUGGUGAUAUCGCAAUCAUCUAGCCCGCAUUGCCGUAGGAGCGCGACGUUGGGUUUGACCAUCUCCUCGAUGCUGUGUUUUGGUUUUCGGUUUGCGUUUUUUCUCGCCCCUGAACGAGAUGGCCGAAAUUCGGCCAUUUCAAAAAUCUCGGUAAAAUCUCGGACGAAAUUACAAAACCAAAAUUUGAAUUUUAAACGAAAUUUGACUAAAAAUUGGCCGAAAUUCGGCCGAAUUUUUUGAAAACAAGCAGAGCAAAUGUACAGCAGUCGAACAACACUGAGGAGUACAUGUAUGCGUUACCAAACUAGCUUUGGGGAUUAAUAACUCCAAAAGAAAAGAUUGAAACAAGGAUACAGAGAGGUGAUCCAGAGUUGAGGAGUUCCCGAUGGAUUCAGCCGCAGCCCGCAGCCGGCAGAGGUCAGCAGCAGGGGCCGGUCGUAGGAACGGCGAGAACGGGGUAGGAGCCGCAUGCUCGAGCGGGGAGGCAGGUGCCGACGAGCGGAGGAGCCGCGUAUUGGCGCAUCGCCGCCGCCGCAAACACAGGGGCCGCAGGGGAUCGUGGUUAGUUUAGGGUUCACGAGUUCGGUUCGAUGCUUUUAAUCCAGGCAAACCGUGGGGAGGCCCAGAAGUUGGACUGGGCCAGAAAAAAGUUUCAAUCUGGGCCGAAAGUUUUGGCCGGCACAGACAUUUACCGGGUCGAGGCGAGAUGACCGAAAUUCGGCCGAAAAUUGUUUUUUUCGGCCGAAAAUCAAAACACAGCCUCGAUGUCAGCGCCGGCGAGGUAGCCUUGCUUGAGCACCCGGAAGAGGUUCUCCGAGGAGCCGAAUAGGAGCAGGUAGUACCGCAAAUUGGAAACAAUGGACCUGGAACAGAAGUGGGCGAAGGAGAGCGCGACGAGGCGCACGAUCUCAGUACGCGAGAGGCCGAGGCCGGUGAGCCCACGACGACGGGGGCUAGAGUUUUCUCUACUUUGGCGCAGAGGAACAACGGGUCCUUGGCGACGAGGGCGGCGACGUCGGUGCCGGAGAGGCCGAGGCCGGCGAGGAAGGAAAGGACGGCGUCGGGCUUGGACGAGGACUUGAGGUGGGAGAGCUUGGCGGAGGCCUUGAGUGCCUGGGGUCGGGUGAGGCCGAAGGUGGAGACGAGGUAGUCGUCGACGACGAAGCUAGGGUUUGGGGAAACGCCGGGCGCGGCGGCCGCGGAGAGGGGGCGGUGGAGAGGGGGGCCUGAGAGGUGGCGGGGGAAGAGAGGAGCCGCACGAGGAUGCAGCCACGGAGGCGGAGCAUGGCGGCGGCGGCGGCGGAGAGAUUGAUUCCCUAUGGAGGCGGGUGCGAAUGGGAUGGUGCUUCGGAGGCGGGGAUGCGGCGCCCCGGCGAGGCAGGUGAGGAACGGAGGAAGAGAACAGGAGGAGAGAUCGAAGAGGAUGGCACUUCGGCGGCGGCGGCGGCGCCGCCGAAGAGAUUUUCCGGUCCGCUGUGAGUGGAGAGGAAAAAUGGGAAAUGGCAGGUGCGAUGCGAAUGGAGGCUCCGCAAAUUGCAAUAUCACUGAAUCCCAGGGGUCUUUACGUCUUUCAAAAAUACAAAAUACAUUUAAAAAAACAUACAUAAUACAUUGAGCCUCAUGGAAACUUUCAUAUACACAUGGAAAAUAGAUAUCCCCUCCGUUUAAUAAUGUAGUGCAUAUAGAUUUUUGAAAGUCGGACUUUGCAAAUUAUGAUCAAAUUUAUAAAGCGAACUACUUAUACCUACAUUAUCAAAUAUAUAAAAUAUGAACCUACGUCUUAUGAUGAAUCUAAUGAUAUAUGCUUGACAUUCUAGAUGUAAAUGUUUUUCUUCACAAACUUGGUCAAAUUUUGUUAGAUUUGACUUUUCAAAAAAUCUACAUGCAAUCAUUAUGCAAUCGGUAUUAUAAGGAAAAUGACUUUGAGCGAUAAGAUUAUAUCACAAAAUAAGCUAUUAUACGACUUGUACUUAUCCUAUGAUUUUUUUCUGUAGGUAUAGUACUUCAUCCGUUUUUAUUUACUUUGCAUAUUAGAGUUGACUGAAGUCAAACUUUGUAAAGUUUGACCAAGUUUAUAGAAAAGAAUAUAAAUAUUUACCCUAACAAACGAAAAUCUGCAUCUGAGCCCGGGCUCAGAUGUUCCCGCUCAGAAAAAAAUUCAAAACAAAUUCUAGAAAAAUUCAAAUAAAUCCAAUUUUUUGUGUGGUAGAUAAUUUGAUGCGUGAGGCCCGCUUCAAAUUUCAACUCAUUUGGAUAUCUGAGGAGCUCUCGGCAAAAAAGACAAAUCGGAUCAAAACAGUUCGUGAACAAUAAACUUUUUUACAGACCCGAUUUUGUCUUUUUGCAGAGAGCUGCUCAAAUGUCCAAACGAGUUGAAAUUUGCAGCAAACCUCACGCAUCAAAUUAUCUAUCACACAAAAAAUGGAAUUUUUUUGAUUUUUUCUAGUAUUUGUUUUGAUUUUUUUCGUCGGAGCGAGUGCAGUUGAGCCCGGGAGCCAAAUUGGCUUAUAUGAUGUGAAAGUAUGUUCAAUAAUGAAUGUAAUGGUAUUGAUUUGUUAUUGUACAUGUUAAUAUUUUUGACUAUAAACUUCGUCAAAAUUUAUAAAGCUUGACUUUGACCAAAACUAAUAUGCGGAAUAAAUAAAAACGGAGGGAGUAAAUGGCUAUGUUUUUUUUUGUACGUAGUAAAUGGUUACUUUUUCUGAUUUUUUUUAAAUGGUUAUGCUUGCUAACCAAUCCAAUUCAAAUUAUAUGUCGCUCAAACGGAUGUAUCUAAUUAAUAUGGAUCGGAUGGAGCAGAAAAGUUCAUAUGGAUAUAUAUUUUCUCAAAACUUGAAAGUAUGAUUUCUACAAGUAAAAAAAAAUCAUAUGUGAACUAUGUUUGUUUUUAGCAUUUUGUGUGCGUUCAUGUUUCUUUUUCUCUCUCUUCAUUCUAGCCUCUUUUCCUCCACCUCACUCUGUUCUCACAUUGACAUUGUUGCCUUUUUCAGUGGACUCCUACCUAUCUUUUCUAACUUUUGCAAGGUGAGAAUUGAGAAGGUUAUUAUUCUUUAGUUUUAUGUGUAUAGCUAUCCUAGAGUCGAGAUCAAUUGCAUCGUGUCCACUUAUCCUCUAUAACACUAAGCUUCCUAGUUUUAAAAAGCCCACACUCAAUUAAGGUCUCCAAUUAGAAUUGGAUCAUCCGAUUUUGAACGGGUCAACAAUUUCUCAAAGCUUCAUAAUCCAAUUUUUUUAUACUAUACCAUAUGCUUCCUAAUUUUUAAGGCCUCACAAUUAAUUAAGAUAUUCAAUAUAGAUUGAUCAUCCAAUUUUGACUGGGUCAACAAUUUCUCAACCUCUCCAAUUGAAUUCUUUUAAUUCACUAUAUUCCAAAAUUUUGAAUCUCUUUCAUUCAAUUGAGGUAUUCAAUUUUGAUUUGGUUGAAGAUUUUGAGUGGGCCAAUGAUUUUCAAAUCAAUCAGCUGCAACUGACCUAUAAAAACAUAUCAAUCCCAUGCACCCUUCCACCACAUAGAAAAAAGAAACGUCACCAUGUGAUAUUGUAGUAUCAAUAUAGUACAUGCAACCACCAACGCAGAAAUUUUUCCACAUAAAUAUAGGUUGGUUAGCGGAUGACACAGUCAUCUCCCCACCCGCCUAACUUAAUAUUCCAUCAGUUAUAAAAUAUGAAGGGUAUUAAUUUUGUAGAAAGUAAAACUUCUUUAACUUUGACCAAGUUCAGAGCAAAAAUAUCAACAUCCACAAUAUUAAACAAAAAAAGUAUGGAAAUUCAUUUCGUGAUGAAUCUAAAAAUACUGAUUUAAUCUUAUGAAUUUUGAUAUAUUUCUCUCAAAUUUGAAAAAACUUAAAAGGUUUGGCUUUUCAAAAAAAUACACCUUAUAUUAUGAAACAGAGUGAUUAGUUUCUUAAGAUACCCAAUAACAUGAACGGCGCAGCAAAGCGCGCAGAACCCUUCUAGUUAGUAGUAUAUCUAAGAACAAUUAGCAUCCCAUUGAUGAUCGAUAAACCUUCUUAGUCCAGCUAGUGGUUGGUUGUCUAGAGUAUAGCUGGCCAAAUGGGCCGGUUUUUUCGGGUCGGCCCGUGAGCACGCCGGCACGGCCCACCUUGGGCCAGGCACGGCACGGGCCAAACGAGCCAGGCCCAGCACGCGGCACGCCCUAGGCCGUGCCUGGGCUGGAGGCUGGGCAUGCGGGCCGGCACGGCACGGCCCGAUUAUGUUUUUUAUAUUUGUUAUACAUUUAUAUAUGAUCCAACAUGUAAAAAUAAGCUAAAAACGCUCAAUGCGUCAAAUAAUAGGCUAAAAAUAUGCGGCCCACCGUGCUAAAUGGGCCAACGUGCCGGCUCGUUUACUAACGGGCCGUGCCUGGGCCUGGGGGCGCAGCACGCGGGCCGGCACGGCACGGCACGUAUAGUAAUCGUGCCCUGGCGGACCGUGCCGGACCAGGCACGAUUAUGAUGGGCCGGGCCAUGCCGUGCCGGGCCAGCCCGUUUGGCUAGGUAUGGUCUAGAGAUCUAUAUGGAGUCAGUUGAGAUGGGAUGGUCAGCCAAGUGGGUUGAUCAAUGCUCCUCUUAAAAUUCGAAGCCUAAAGUAGAUGUGCUACUCGAGAAAUAAAAAGACCAACGUAGACCGUACCAACAUCUAAUAUUUGACGUCACAUUUAAAUUUGAUACUAUUCAUACCCAUAAUUGUCCCUUUGCUCAUCGAAUUAUGCAUCUUAUAUAAAUGUUGUAAAUGAUCAAUUUUUAUAAUAAUUUUAGGGUUGUAGUUCGGUGCAUAGGUAGCUCAGAGGAACCAUAGUCAUCGCUUCCUCUCCAAAAAAGCUUAGGGUUCCUAUGCCUCCCGCUGGCGCAGCUGCCGGUCCACCUCGUCUCCGGUGGCCCUAGGGUCAUGGGGACACGGUGAAUCUCAUCCCUUACCAGAGGGCUUCGUUUUUAGACGUUUCUUUGAAUUUUGUUAGGGUUGUGUCUUGCUAAUUAAGGAGGGCAAGACAACGACGGCUUCCUGAAGAUUGAAUAAGAUUCUCCCCGCCUAGCCCCCGUCUCGAUGGCGCAUCUAACAUCGUCGAAGAGUGUGUGGAGGUGUAUCUCCGCCAGAUCUCGCAGGAUUCGGUAGGUGGUUUGUCUUUGGUGGAUCUACUCGGACCCGGUCUUCGUUCGUCUACGUUUGUGUGUCGCUAGAUUGGAUCCUUCCGAUCUAUGGGUCUCUUCAUCGGCGGGGGUUGCUAUUCUAGUGCGCUGGUCCUACGAGGCCUUAGCACGACAAGUUCCCGACUGUGUACUACAAUAAGUUCUGCCCGGCUCCGGGGAGGGAAGGGCGAUGACGACGGUGCGUCUUCGGCUCGUUUUAAUGCUUGUAGUCUUUGCUAGAUGGUCUAAGGAUGAAUGUGAUUUUUAUUAUUCCUAUUGUUCAUUGUAUUGUCAUGAUUGAAAAUGAAUAUAUCAAAUGAUUUCUCAUAGAAAAGAAGCUCAUAAGAACCAUUAAAAGGACAAUCGUGUGGUCUCCCUAGACUUUUUUUUAGAAAAGGAGGAAGACCCCCGGCCUCUGCAUCUGAGCGAUGCAUACAACCACUUUAUUAAUUAUUCUCAAAAGACCUUACAAAGAAAUACAACAAUAAGUCUGAAGCCAUCAUCUAGGCAACAUCUGUUGCUACUCCUAUUCAUUUGAUGAAGGGAUGCUGAUAGUCUGGGCUUAAUACCAAACAGACCUCGCAGCCAAACCUAACAUCUAAGACCUGAGUUCCCAUCCAGGACGCCUGCCGGGUAUGGGUCACCCACCGGUCCGGCACACUCCUCAACAUGGACGCCUGCCGGGUAUGAGGCCGCCGCAGCCACCUGCCACCAAUCCAUCUUCAGAGAUGUAGUGUUGCAUCUACCUUGUCCGGUCUAGCUGCCGUCGACGCCACCACGAUGCCAGACAACGCCACCAUCCUGCGCUCGUCCAUCAACACACGCCCAGCAGCAAGAUCCCGCUGCUCUAUGCCCCUGAGACCCGCCAUUGUCGACGUAUCAGAUGCAACGCCGCUCCUCCUUCGCGAACACCACCUUCUACCACUGGUCCUAUCCCCUCCACCUGUAGAUCCUCUGAACUCCCAACCGAGCCCUAGUGCCCCUGACGACACCUCCAGGAAGGUCACGACGCAAAAAGCGCCGCUGCCGCCAGAUCCGAAAAGGAUUGAAGGUUUUCACCCGGCCGGGGAUCGGGGUGGAUAGAUUGGGCCCUCAGCUGCGCCUUCAUGAAGGAAAGCGGCACCCAUGAGCGUCGCCGCCGCCGGGCCGGCUAGACUGGCCAAGGUUUUCCCCGGACCCAAAGUACACCACCAGGGCUGACCACCACCGGAGCCUGCAGCCGUAAACCACCAGGACGACGACAGAGGCAGCAGGAGAAAGGGGAACCAUUAAAAGGACAAUCGUGUGGUCUCCCUAGAUGGUCCUUGGAGGGAGCGAUGCAAUUUCAUUUCCUUUUUAUUGCAUUCUCAUGGAUCUAUGGGAUACACAGAUUUGGAAUAGCCAUGCGUUAUAUAGGUUUGGAAAAGAUGAAUGGGCAGGACAAAGCCCAUCAAGGUCCACAGUUGGACAUGGUAUUUUUCUCUUCCCUGAUCUUGUGUGGUUGUUACAUUACAACGAGGACUAGAUGCAUUCAUGAACCUGAGGAGACUAUAUACGGUGAUUAUAUCGUGGCUAUCAUAUUUACCUAUUUUACAAAGAAUGAUCGGAUAUAAUUUACUGGUACAAUCCAUUGUGUGCCUUUCACGCUUCCGUCAGUUUAAUUUCCUCACAUUUUAAGUAGUCUUGUGAAGUUGUGAUCAGGUAGCUCGCAAUCUGAAUUUCUGUAAUGAAUUUUUUUUGGUCCAACGAGUAAAACGUAGACUUGGUGACCCUCAAAAGGGAUGAUAUUUUACAUAACGAGUAAAUCAUGAUGUCCUUAGAUAUUUCUUAUGAGUAUUUCUUCUUUUCUGCGGAAAAGUUUCUUGUCUUCCGAACUCUUGGAUGUGGGCAGAACUCUUGAUGAGCCGAGGCACCCGCGGCAUGCCAUUGUGAGUCAAGUUUGCCAUUGUUUGAUGGGAAGUUUUCAAGUGCUACAUGUAGAAGGACGCUAUAGUGGCUGCAAUCUUGCUGCUAAGUGACACGUACUGUCACCCUGUUUCUAAUGAAAAAAACUGAAGAACAAUGACUCAUUUAAACAUUGUUCAAUUUUGUGGUUCAUGAGCCUUUUCUUCAAAGUUUACUUAAAAGUUGGGUUAUUAGGUAAAAAAUGGUUCCUUUCCUUUUGUGCUUGCAAUUUAUUGUCCUGACAAAAACACUUUUUAUUGCAGUGCUAAGAAAAUGCGUCUACUACUUGACUGAACUAAAUACUCUUGAUAGCAAACCCUCUCUGGGCAUAUUCGUAGAUUCAAGGUGAGGAGACAUGCCAGCAUACAGACCAGCAACAUACAUGGCACAUGUACGACGUUCUAACAAGAGCAUAAAGUUGAUUGAUUCUUGAUAGCAUCACCUGAAUAUAUCACUCACGGAUUCAUGAAUGUUCCCCGUUGCAAUGCACGGCCAUUCACCUAGUAAAGGCAAUGAUUUGUUGGUAGUAGAGGCAUCUCAUGUUUCAAAGGGUUAAACCUUAGCCGUCGUGACCCGGCUCCAUGGCUGGGUCAAUCUCGCACCUCUGUUGGUGCCGAACCCUAGGCAAAUUCCCCCAAAUCUCUUGUUGUUUCUAUUGAUUGACCGAAUGUGAGGAGCAAUAGUAGAUCAAUAACUCUCGUAUAACCGAGGGAAAAAGAAAUGAAGAGAAGUUGGCGAAAGUAUCAAGUGGUACAUCUACUUUUUAUAACAUCACAUGAAGCCGGCGAAAAGGAAAGCCGAUCAACGAAGAAACUGCAUAGGGGACCUAUCAUGAGUGAACAUUGCGUGGGCGCCAUUGGCCGCAUCUCAUCAUCUUGUUGUGUAGAAGAAGAAAUGACUGCCGAUGCUGCUGGUGCCUCCAUCUCUAUGACCUUGCCGUCCAAGCCCGCAUUAGCAACAAACACGUAGCACUAGAGCACGGGAGGAGAGUUGAUCAGGGAAAUCGCCUUUCUUGACGACAGGAGAAUUAGUGAUGGGCGACUCCACGCGACGCUGAUGUGAUUUCAGGCCACACUAAAGGAUGUCGGAGAAGGGGGCCAUAGGACGAACUCAACCGCAUCGGUAGUGGGCUUGGUGGAUAUUGUGUCGAGGGCUCGGGGACGCACUCGGUGAUGGUGGUGGACCUCGGGGAGGGGGGCCUCAUACACGUGGAUGCAGGGGAAAAGAGGGUGCACGGGCUUGAAGGCAUUACUCAUCCACCUCUUCUGGCAAAGAGAGCUCAUCGGGGCCAACCGCGUGAAGGAGGAGCUUGAGGUAGCUUGGAGGAGGCGACGACGACAACCAGAUCCAUCUGGCAAGCCAGAGUGGAGGCAUCCCACGUGGGAGCAGUGAUUUCGGUGCCUAAGCUUAGAUGCACCUGCUAUUAUGUUUGUUCAUUGCUGCAUGGAGAUUCAGGAAAUGGGGCAUGAGGUGGCAUUGCUAGGGCGUGGAAAAUCCCCAAAAUGAACUAUACAUGCAUGAAUAGUGUGAUACAUGUGGGUCUAUCGUGUAGCACACGAGGAGGGUUCGAACGAAGGACAGACGGUGCCAUCUUGGUUGGAUUCUGAUCCAUGGCACCUAAUCGUCUGCAUUCAUCUAAGUCGUGGCUCACUCUGCUGCCUGUGGCAUGACUUUGACACUUUGAAUCCGAGUCAUGGCCUAAAGAUUUGUGUAGCUCCAGUUGGGGCCUGCGGUGUAGGAUCGUCGGUACGCACACCGAAUGUCAUCCACGACCGACGUCGGCCAACAGAUUGCUAGCUUACUAGACGCUACAAGAGGUAGCGUCCUUCGUGAAGUUUGUGUGCUUCAACACCAACCAGGUCAUCCUAAGCCGUCAUGGACAACCCAUUCAUCUACGUGGUUGACUUCAACAUUGGAGACGACUUCUCAUGGUCGUUGCUCAUGUCACACCUUGCUCACCAUGGCAACAAGCUGUUUCAUGUCACGUCACUUGCCACCACAUUAAUGCACCGCGCGGAUACGCAUGCACCUACAAUCGUGCAUGGUGUCCCUCAGAGUUCACGCGCGUCCCUAGGGGCUCCCAUUCCAGUACGACGAGAAGGACCUCCUGGUCUGGGCUGGAAGUCACGUAAUGGUACCUACAACAAUCUCGAAAAGAGUAGAAGGCCUGGAUUUCGAGAGCAUCUGAGCUCGCACUUAGAAAUCUAUUUUUGUUCCCACGGUCCAUACAUAGAGAGAAACUAGAAAAGAAAAUGCAAAACACGCAUACAUGCAUGCAUGCUUCCACAAAUGGGUUACCAGAUACCUUUCUGGGGCUCUGGUGACCUCACAUUCAUUGUUGACCCCUUACGACCUCACAAUCAUGGGAGAGAUUUCAUGACCGCACACUGUCUCUAUAAAAGCCUAUCACCUCUAUGAAUCAUGUGGCUCCAUCAUUUCAAAUCCUCCGCGCGCCUAAGAUACCACUUGAGAAAUUACUAAUGGCCAACGGAAAGAAUGUCAUGGCCAUGUUGUUUCUCACCACCAUUGUGGCGGUGGCGGCCACAAGGCCAGCCGAGACCUAUGGCGCUGCGGAGGAGAACACAUUGAAGAUGGCUACCCCCAGCAAGAAAGGGGUUGACGCUACCUUAGCAGCUACACGUGUUGUUGCCGCCGAGAAGUCCAUCAAGAAGGCUGAAAGCGCCACCACACCAGAAGAGGCCGCGACUGCCAAGCAAGAUGGAGCAAAAUCUGCUUCUGCUGCAUUAAAGUACAAUGCCAUCUCUCAGCAGGCAAAUGGUAAAGGUUCUUCUACCUCCCUAGGCAGGAAAGAAGCAGCCGGUACUUUAGCCGCCGCACACUAUGCCGCCGCCGAGAAGUCCAUCAAGAAGGCCGAAACCGCCAAGACACCUGCAAAGGCCGUGGCUGCCAAGCGAGACGCAGCAAAGUCUGUUGACAAUGCAUUAAAGUAUGAUGCCAUCUCUCGGAAAGCAGCUGGUACAAGUUCUUCUACCUCCCCCAAUAGGAAAGAAGGCACCACUGAUGCUGCUAAGAUGUUCACCAAGAAGGCUGAAACCGCUACCACACCUGAAGAGGCCGCGAAUGCCAAGCAAGCUGCAGCCAAGUCUACCGCUGCUACAUCAAAGUAUGGUGUCAUUUCUCAGCAAGUAGCUGGUACAAGUUCUUCUACCUCCCCUAGCAGGAAAGAAGCUGCCGGUACCUUGGCAGAUGCUCACAUAGCUACUGCCGAGAAGUCCAUCAAGAAGGCUGAAACCGCCACCAGACCUGAAGAGGCAGCAUCCGCUAAGAAGGAUGCCGCGAAAUCUGAGGCUAAUGCAAUGCAGUACGGGGCCAUCUCUCAGCAGGCCACCGGCAAAAAUGGUGCCUAAGUGGUGCCUUAAACACCUAUUCACGCGCAACAUCAUCUACAUACUACCAUGCACGCAAAAUAGCAGCAUUGAGAUACCACGUUAUGCUAAUUCUCAUGCAUGCAUGCUUUGUUUAAACGUUCACAUUAUGAAUCAUGUAUUAAUGUCUUGCUUGUUUUAUUUUUAGUAGUAAGACACGCUUGACUUGCUUUAAAAAAAAUACAACAAUCGAUGUAUACAUGUAUCAUCUGAAAAUUAAUAAUAUGAGUUCCACCACAAUUUGUGUCUUUUUGUCAUAUUUUGGGUGCAAUCAAUGCACACAUCCAAUACACAAAAUUGGACGAGUCAAUGUGUUAUGGCUCCAUGGAGCGGCGAAUCAUGUUUUAUUGUCUUGCUUGUUUUACUUUUAGUAGUAACUAG
rnacentral:lncRNA from 1 species